rnacentral:lncRNA from 1 species
AGUAGUAAAUAGUCUUAUUUCUUGCUUAAGUCUGCACUAUUAAGUGUUUCAGAGCAUAAAGAUGUGAUUCCUACACUUAUCUGGAUAAGAUCACAAAAGACCAACCUAAUUGAGCUGAAGUGCACCAGAACCUUAGAACACUAGUAAUAUAUACUGCUGUCUUUCAGAGUGUCAGUAGUAAAUGGUCUAACUUCUUGCUUAAUGCCCCACCGGUAAGUUUUUCAGAGAAUAAAGAUGGAAUUUGUACACGCAAUCGGAUAACAUCACAAAAGACCAACCUAAUUGAGCUGAGCACCCCUGUCAUUCGGGUCAAGGAGCACUGUCUAAUCGAGCAGGAAAACAAAAUGCUAGGGUGCUAAUCCCAUUCCCUAAUUAGCAUGAGGAUUGAGCUGAUUUAAUUACCAGCGGAUCUUCCAAUUGCUAAGCAGCUCCUCCUCCUUCGCCGCCGGCGCCGCCGGGGCUCCAUCUGUGCAGGCCGUCGCCGCUAAGGGUGGCGCGCGCGAGCUGCCGUUGGACGCACUUCCAAGCGGGCACCCUCCUCCUCACCGCCCGGAUCCUGGCCCUCCUCGCCGUCGCCUUGGCCUUGGCCACAAGUGACCGGUACCGGCGCACCCUCCACGCGAGGAUCCGGCGCUUCGCCGGCCUCUGGAGCACGCCGUGCGCGUCGUCGCCGCCGCCGCCGCGCCUCCUUUUGGCGCCCGGAUCCCUGCCCGAAUGGCUCGAGGAGACGGCGUCGCCGCCGGAGUCGAUGUCCAUGUCGGCUGCGGUGCUCGGCUCGGCGCGGUCCGCGGGGGCCGUCCUCCCGCCGGCCAGCCGCUCCGCCACUCUCAUUGCGCCGGCGAGGGCGAGCAGGCGCUUGGCGGAGCCGACGACGACCGCCCCCGCCGGCGCGCGGAGGAGGGCGUCCUCGGCCGCGCCCGCGCCCGCGCGGGGCAGGGCCUCGACCCUGGCGUAGAGGUUGCCGGCGCUGUCCAUCAGGCACUCCUUCCCGAGCAGGCUGACCGGCAGGGCGAGGAAGGCCGCGGCGUCCUCGGCCGAAUCCUGGAGGGGCGUCGGCGCGUCGGCGCCGACGAGGAGCCUCACGCCGAGCGGCGCCGUCAUCUGGAGCUCGGCGGGGCGGUUCCCCCUGAUCCGAUCGAUAGCUCGGCCAGCUUACCGAGGAAGGAAACCGUCUUUGGUUAGGCGCGAGCUGCUCUGUCUCUCCGCGUGCUAGUGCAGUGUGCUUGUUGUUAGAUAAUCCAAACAUAUUGGACGUGUUGAGUCCAGUUGGUAUAGAGCAGGAAGGAGCUGUCCGGCUGAACUGUGCAUACCAUGUAUGCACGAGUAGUACUAGUUGGUAUAGGAGGUGGAUUUGUUAGGAGUUUGCGUCCAAGAAAGUGUGCAAAAGUUUGGUCUCAUACAUGGCCAAGUACCGGUGGAGCAGCUCCCUUGAUCGACGCUCAAUGCACUGGUUGUCGUGGGAGGCGCUAGCACAGCCGAAGGCAAAGGGAGGGAUGGGAUUCCGGGAUUUGGAGAUGUUCAAUACUGCUCUUCUUGGCAAGCACGGGUGGAGAUUGAUCACGAAUCCCGACACUCUUUGCGCACGGGUACUAAAAGGAAAAUAUUAUCCUUCAUGCGAGUUUCUGCAAGCCACUAUUCCGAAACAUGCUUCUGUCACUUGGCGAGCGAUAAUUCAUGGAAGGAGAGCUUUGAACUCCGGCCUGAUCAAACGUAUUGGAAAUGGAACGACGGUUAAUAUAUGGACGGACAAGUGGAUUCCGAAUACUAUCAGGAUGUCUCCCGUUGCAAGGCUUGGGAACGCCCAGAUUAACACAGUUUCAGACAUUAUUGAUGCUGAUAAUUGGACUUGGAAAUCUGAAGUGAUCAGGGAAACUUUCAUACCACCCGAUGCAGAUGCAAUUCUUAAUACCCCCUUGAGAAGGGGAGGGGGUGAUGAUUACAUGGCUUGGGCUCUAGAAAGGAACGGGAUUUAUACUGUAAAGUUAGCAUAUCGAUCUCUAAUGAUUCAGAACGAGCAGUAUGCUCUAGAAGAAGGGACCAUCAUGGAAACUUCAGAGACAGAAAAACAGUCAUGGUCUCGGCUUUGGAAGCUGAAAGUCCUGCCCAGAGUACGCGUAUUUUGGUGGCGAGUAAUGCGAGGAAUCCUUCCAGUGGAGAGUACACUAACGUAUCGUCAUAUCUCAACGACUAGCAAGUGCAAAAUCUGCCUUAGUGAGGAGGAGGGUAUGAUGCAUGCCCUGUUAAACUGCAACCAUGCCAGGAGGUUCUGGACUGCAGCACCGGAUUUGUUGGGUGUUAAACGUCCGGAUUUACACCCACAUACUUGGAGAAAGGACAUUUUGUGUGACCCUAGAUUUUCAGAGGCUGAUAAGGCAAGAUUGGUAUCUAUUAUGUGGUCCAUUUGGACCUCCAGGAAUAAUCUUACUCAUGACAGGGGUACUCUUGACCCGGUUCAGUCCAUGAAGAUCAUUAGGGAGUCUUUGGCAGUGCUGGAAUUGCCAAGGGAGCAUGCCCGAACACUUCCAGGGCAUGGCUAACGUCCACCUGAUGAUGGGUGGAUAAAAAUCAACACUGACGGAAGCAUAGCUAUGGAAGCGCGGCGAGGAGGAGUUGGAGGCAUGGCUAGAUCUUCCACGGCUCUGAAAGCUGCCUGGUGUAAACAGUAUUCAAGUAUUACAUACCCUCUCGUGGAUGAAGCACUUGCAGUUCACGAUGGAGUUAUUUUUGCAAAGCUUCGGGGCUACGAGAAAGUUGUCAUUGAGACAGACUGUAUGGAGAUUGUUGAUCUCUGGAACUCGCGUCAGGCUCAUCGAGCAGUGGUGGCGCCUAUCUUGUCCGAGAUUGGGGAGCAUGCUUGUAGUUUUUCUUCUUUCAUUGUUCAACAUGUGUGUAGAUCAGCAAACUUUUCUGCCCACCUUUGUGCGAAGCAAGCUAGCACUUUGGAGGUUACAGAUUGCUGGUUAGACGUUAUUCCGAGUUUCCUUGUAACUAGCCUCCUGGCAGAUGAUGCUGGGGCGGUUGAUGUUGAAUAAAGCUGCCCAAAUUUCCCCGCAAAAGAAGUUGUUUUUUUUCAUCUUAUAAUACAUCUCUCAUUUAUAUCAUAAGGAAUAUUAUACAAUCCAUGCAUAUACUGACCUGAUAAGACUGAACAAAUAGCAAAACGCCGACCUUUGCUCCAAGGAGCAUCAGCCAACAAGUAAAACUAAGCUACUCAAAACAUAUCUCUUCACCCGCCACACUUUUCCAGUUUCGUUGGUGACACGACUUACCAAAUGAUGUGGCCCUUGGCUAUCGGUUUUUCGCGCGCCUGUGUUUGUGUGAUUUGAUGUGAUCGAUUCUGAGGGCGAAUUUCCAACACUUAUGUCUUAGACUCGGUGUGUGCCUGCACUCGCCACACUCAAAAGAAUGGAUGCCCUUUUUUCGACGCUACACACUCCGUUUAUUAUGGAAAAAAGCUUUUGAUUUAUUCAGCAUGGAAAAAGCUUUCGAUUUAUUCAGCAUCUUCAGGCAAGAAAUACUAGAAAAAUAUAAAUUACAUCGAGAUUCAUAGACCACCCAGCUAGGAUUACAAGCACUUGAGUGAGCCGGCGACGCGCCACCCCUCCCUCACCGGAGUUACAAGGUUACAAGAGUGUCCACACUCCAUUAAGACACACCCGAUGCAACACACACGCACACGCACACGCACACGCGCACACACACACACACACACACACAAAGUUGUCGCUGGAGAGGGCACCCAUGCCCUCUCACUCCGGACCGUGGAGCACCGAUUUUGCCUGCAGACAACAAGGACCGAGUGCGAUGCCAAAGCUAAAGGAGCUUCGAGAUAGGAUCCAAGCUCGCUCCACGAGAACGCCCCCAAGAGGGCGACGACGGAAUAGGACGACACCGUCAAGACCAAAACACAGUUGAGGGAGUCCUGGACUAAGUGGUCCUCGGGCUGCCGGCCUAUCUCACAUGGGCCGAAUAGUUGGGCCGCACUAUAUCCGGACCGCAGAUCUUUCUGUGCCUUGACGUACACCCCAAGUCAAGAUGGAACAUUCCGCGUCCUUGUUCCUUUGAUGUAAUAGACUACAUGUAAACCCUAGUACCCCUGGUGUCUAUAUAAACCAGAGGGUUUAGCCCGCAGGGGGAGAUCGAUAAUCCUACUAGCCUAGGGUUUAGCUCAUCUGAUCGUGUGGUAGAUCUACUAUGUAAUCCUCAUAUAAACAAGCAAUAUAAUCAAGCAGGACGUAGGGUUCGACCUCUUAGAGAGGGCCCGAACUUGGGUAAAUACCAUGUCCCGCGUCAUCUGUUCCCCAUCGAUCCUAGAUCCACAGUAUGGGACCCCCUACCCAAGAUCCGCCGGUUUUGACACCGACAUUGAUGCUUUCAUUGAGAGUUCCACUGUCGGAUCGCCAAAAGGAUCGAUGGCUCGCCUGAUCAUCAGAGACGGCGUUAGCACCGGAGACAUCUUCAUCCCCGGUCAACUUUUCUCGUUCGGCACUGCAUGCCAAUUCUGUCGGUCACCUCGACCAGGUCGAUAACUUCGCCUCUGAGCAUCAUAUCAAGUUCGGUAACCUAGAGUACACCACCGAUGCUCGAGGCGAUCUAAUCUUCAUCGGCUUCUCGGCCUUGCCCGAGAUGCCCGACAAUCUUGGAGCCUCGGCUUCUGGAUCCCCCCUCGGUCUGAUCAUUGGGUCGGCCGUCAGCGCGCAUUGGGAUUCAAACCCGGAUGCGGCCGCCUCUGAAGACCAAGAGUUAACUCUGGUCGGACGCACUCCCCCCACCUCGGGUCAGGUUUCAAGCCUCAAUACCGGUUCGGCACCCAUGGACUAGGAGACAGUCCUGGCCGGAUUCUCCCCCCUUGCUAUUGGUUCGACGUCAAGCCCUAACACCAGUUCGGCAUCCAAAGACCAAGAGUCAAUCCUGGCCGGAUUCACUCCUCUCCUUACCGAUGCACUAGAAGUCAAUUCCAAAGGAACCCUACACGCCGGCCCGACCAGCUUCGCCUUGAUAAACGAGGUGCUGGAUCGGAUCCAAGGGAUAAGCAUCUCAGACGACAUGUCCUCGGCUCGCGAGAUAGACCGCGGGGAAUUUUGCGUCCCACCCACUACCCACUUGGUGGACACUAUCGAAGACUUAACCGAUAUAUAUGCUAGGCUACGCCUCCGAGGAGGCCGAGGACAUGGACGAUGAUAUCGAACCGACAGUCCAUACUAAUACCCCUGCCAUCGGCCGAUGGACGACCGCCUCCCAAGGACAACGAUGAUGGCGCCAACAACGGCGAUGGCACCCCUAGAAGAGACAACAAGCCGGGAGAGGAGCCGCCUAAGUACCGACGGCAACGUCGGCGAUCCAAGGGAUGGAGGAGCAGGGAAACCAAUACAGACACCGGGGAGGAGCAUACCCCGGACAAUAUCGCAGACCUCGGCGACCCUACCCCCGAUAAGCAGUCUGAUGGCUCGGAGGAGCGUGAGGACAAGUUUGAUCCUGAUGACCUCAUUGACUCCGAGGGCAGUAACUAUCUUCCUCUUUCUGAGCAAGUGGACUUCAUCGUCCCGGAAGACCCGCUCGAUCAGGAGCGGUUCAAAAGGCAGCUCAUCGCCAUCGCACAGAGCCUCAAGAAGAUGUAGUAGCAGCUCAAGGCUGAACAGGACACCUUCAAUAACAGAUGGACAAAAGUCCUGGCAGCCGAAGAGGGGUACAGUUACGAGCAACAAAACAAAAGUUACCCAAAGAGGAAACUAUUGCCACAGUUCGACAACGAGGCCAUUGAACCUGUACCACCAAGACGGAUGCAAGGCAACCAGCCAGACUGCCCCCCUCGAGGCCGGGUUAGGCCAGCUAGAGAAGCCGAACUCCCACCCGACCCACCUCCCCAAAAAGGCAAGGAGGCAACGCAGCCCGAAUAUCAAUACGACCUGCGACAUGACUUAGCCACUAGAGCAGGCCAGUCAAGGUCCAUCUAUGGACAAAGAGGUUACCUUCCCAAUAGAAGAGACGAAUAUUAAGCAUGGCUCGACCGAAAUGAUAGAGUUCAUGAUCAACACCGGGCCAGGAUAUAAUCCAAGGUUCAACGCAAUGUGGACCGAAUAAGGGGCGCCACUCACCCAAUGUGCUUCACCGAUGAGGUGAUGCAGCACCAAUUCCCAGAAAGGUUUAAACCCGUAAACAUCGAGCCAUACGAUGGAACUACAGACCCGACUAUGUGGAUUGAAGAUUUCCUCCUCCACAUUCAUAUGGCACGAGGAGAUGACCUCCACGCCAUAAAAUAUCUGCCAUUGAAUCUCAAAGGACCAUCCCGACAUUGGUUGAACAGCCUCCUCGAAGACUCCAUAGGGAGCUGGGAAGAGCUAGAGGAUGCUUUCUGAGCUAAUUUUCAAGGAACCUAUGUACGGCCCCCAGAUGCCGAUGAUCUGAGCCAUGUGGUCCAACAGCCCGGCGAGUCAGCCUGACAGUUUUGGAAUAGGUUCUUGACCAAAAAUAACGAAAUAGUCGGCUGUCCGGACGCCGAAGCCAUAGCCGCAUUAAAACACAGUAUCCGGGACGAAUGGCUCGCGCGCCAGCUCGACCAAGACAAGCCGAGGACAAUGGCAGUGUUGGGGAACGUAGUAAUAAUUCAAAAAAAUUCCUACGUGUCACCAAAAUCAAUCUAGGAGAUGCUAGCAACGAGAGAGAGGGAGUGCAUCUUCAUACCCUUGAAGAUCGCUAAGCGGAAGCGUUACAAGAACGCGGUUGAUGGAGUCGUACUCGCGGCGAUUCAAAUCGUGAAAGAUCCGAUCCAAGCACCGAACGGACGGUGCCUCUGUGUUCAACACACGUAUAGCCCGGGGACGUCUCCUCCUUCUUGAUCCAGCAAGGGGGAAGGAGAAGUUGAGGGAGAACUUCCGCAGCACGACAACGUGGUUGUGGACCUCGUGGUUUCCGACAGAGCUUCGCCAAGUUCAACAGAGGAGGAGGAGGUGUAUGGGGAGAAAGGCUGCGCCAAGGGAAGAGGUGCGGUUGCCCUCCCGCCCCCUCUAUUUAUAGGGUGAAGGGGAGAGGGGGCCGGCCCCCUAGAUGCAUCUAGAGGGGGGGGGGGCGGCCAAGGUAGAAGCUUGCCCCCCCCCCCCCAAGUUGGUGGGGGGGCACCCCUUGGGCCCCUUGGCGGGCGCACCAGCCCACUAAGGGGCUGGCUCCUACUCAUAUUCAGCCCAUUUAGUCCCCCAGGGCAGGUGGCCCACCCGAUGGACCCCCGGACACCUUUGGGUGGUCCCUGUACAAUACUGAUAACCCCCGAAACCUUUCCGAUGACUGAAACUGGACUUCCCAUAUAUAAAUCUUCACCUCCGGACCAUUCCGGAACUCCUCGUGACAUCCGGGAUCUCAUCCGGGACUCCAAACAACUUUCGGUAACCAUAUACAAUUUCCCAUUACAACUCUAGCAUCACCGAACCUUAAGUGUGUAGAUCCCUACGGGUUCGGGAACCAUGCAGACAUGACCGAGACAUCUCUCUGGCUAAUAACCAAUAGCAGGAUCUGGAUACCCAUAUUGGUUCCCACAUGUUCCACGAUGAUCUCAUCGGAUGAACCACGAUGUCGGGGAUUCAAUCAAUCCCGCAUACAAUUCCCUUUGUCUAUCAGUAUGUUACUUGCCCGAGAUUCGAUCAUCGGUAUCCCCGUACCUCGUUCAAUCUCGUUACCGGCAAGUAUCUUUACUAGUUCCAUAAUGCAUGAUCCCGUGGCUGACUCCUUAGUCACAUUGAGAUCAUUAUGAUGAUGCAUUACCGAGUGGGCCCAGAGAUACCUCUCCGUCAUACGGAGUGAUAAAUCCCAGUCUCGAUUCGUGCCAACCCAACAGACACUUUCGGAGAUACGUGUAGUGCACCUUUAUAGCCACCCAGUUACGUUGUGACGUUUGGUACACCAAAGCAUUCCUACGGUAUCCGGGAGUUGCACAAUCUCACGGUCUAAGGAAAUGAUACUUGACAUUAGAAAAGCUUUUAGCAAACGAACUACACGAUCUUGUGCUAUGCUUAGGAUUGGGUCUUGUCCAUCACAACAUUCUCCUAAUGACGUGACCCCGUUAUCAAUGACAUCCAAUGUCCAUGGUCAGGAAACCAUAACCAUCUAUUGAUCAACGAGCUAAUCAACUAGAGGCUCACUAGCGACAUGUUGUGGUCUAUGUAUUCACACAUGCAUUACAGUUUCCAGUUAAUACAAUUAUAGCAUGAACAAUAGACAAUUAUCAUGAACAAGGAAAUAUAAUAAUAACCAUUUUAUUAUUGCCUCUAGGGCAUAUUUCCAGCAGUCUCCCACUUGCACUAGAGUCAAUAAUCUAGUUACAUUGUGAUGAAUCGAACACCCAUAGAGUUCUGAUGCUGAUCAUGUUUUGCUUGUGGAAGAGGUUUAGUCAAUGGAUCUGCAACAUUCAGAUCUGUAUGUACUUUACAAAUAUCUAUGUCUCCAUCUUUAAUAUAUUCACGAAUGGAGUUGAAGCGGCGCUUGAUGUGCUUGGUCUUCUUGUUGGCAAUGGCAAUAGCUCCAGUGUUGUCACAUAAGAGAUUCAUCGGGCCCGACGCAUUGAGAAUCACUCCUAGGUCGGUGUUAAACUCCUUCAUCCAGACUCCUUCCCGCGCUGCUUCCAAAACAGCUAUGUACUCCGCUUCACAUGUAGAUCCCGCCAUGACACUUUGCUUGCAACUGCACCAGCCGAUUGCCCCAUCAUUCAAAAUAUACAUGUAUCCGGUUUGUGACUUGGAGUCAUCCAGAUCUAUGGCAAAGCUAGCAUCGACGUAACCCUUUAUAACAAGCUCUUCGACACCUCCAUAAACGAGAAACAUAUCCUUGGUCCUUUUCAGGUACUUCGGGAUAUUCUUGACCGCUAUCCAGUGUUCCAUACCGAGAUCACUUUGGUACCUCCCUACCAAACUUAUGGCAAGGUUCACAUCAGGUCUGGUACACAACAUGGCAUACAUAAUAGAGCAUAUGGCUGAGGCAUAGGGGAUGACACUCAUCUUUUCUCUUUCUGCUACCAAGGCCGGGCAUUGAGCUGUGCUCAAUCUCACACCUUGCAAUACAGGCAAGAACCCCUUCUUAGAUUGACCCAUAUUGAACUUCUUGAAUAUCUUGUCAAGGUAUGUGCUUUGUGAAAGACCAAUGAGGCGUCUCGAUCUAUCUCUAUAGAUCUUGAUGCCUAAUAUGUAAGCAGCUUCUCCAAGGUCCUUCAUUGAAAAACACUUAUUCAAGUAGGCCUUUAUGCUUUCCAAAAGUUCUAUAUCAUUUCCCAUUAAUAGUAUGUCAUCCACAUAUAUUAUGAGAAAAGCUACAGAGAUCCCACUCACUUUCUUGUAAAUACAGGCUUCUCAAUAAAUCUGUAUAAACCCAAAUGCUUUGAUCAUUUCAUCAAAACGAAUGUUCCAACUCCGAGAUGCUUGCACCAGCCCAUAGAUGGAGCGCUGGAGCUUGCAUACCUUGUCAGCAUUCUUAGGAUCGAUAAAACCUUCCGGUUGCAUCAUAUACAAUUAUUCCUUAAGGAAAUCAUUAAGGAAUGUCAUUUUGACGUCCAUUUGCCAGAUCAUAGAAUGCGAAAAUUGCUAACAUGAUUCAGAUGGACUUCAGCUUCGCUAUGGGUGAGAAGGUCUCAUCAUAGUCAACUCCUUGAACUUGUCGAUAACCCUUAGCGACAAGCCGAGCCAUAUAGACGGUCACAUUACCAUCCACGUCAGUCUUUUUUUUAAAGAUUCACUUAUUUUCUAUGGCUCGCCGAUCAUCAGGAAGGUCCACCAAAGUCCAUACUUUGUUCUCAUACAUGGAUCGUAUCUCGGAUUUCGUGGCUUCAAGCCAUUUGUUGGAAUCUGGGCCCGCCAUCACUUCUUCAUAGUUCGAAGGUUCACCAUUGUCUAACAACAUGAUAUCCAGGACAGGGUUACCAUAGCAUUUUGGUGUGGAACAUGUCCUCAUGGACCUACGAAGUUCAGUAGCAACUUGCAUUACAAAAAAAUACACCUCCGUGAUGAUACAUGUUUUUCAUAGUAGGUCACGUUUUCUGUCAUGCAUGUACAUCCAUGACGAUUUUAUGACAGAAUCAAGAUAGUCAUACCUGUGCUGUGGUAGAAUUGUUCCAUGACAUUACCAAAAUUAUCAUCACGGAAGUGUCCACUUCCAUGACGAUAAAUGGCGUGUCAUGAAAGUGCUUUCGUCAAGGGUGACCGACAUGUGGCAUCCACCGUAACGGGUCACCGUUAAGCUAUCGUGUCCGGUUUUGGAUCUGAUAACCAGUUAACAGCCCUAAAAAAUGAGGAUUUUCCAUGUGUAAAAUUCUCAUUAGCCGGAGGAAACACAUGUUGGAUCACCAUUGGGACAUAUGUCAUCCACUCAUUGGACAUGAGGCGCCUAUGAUAGGUCGACACGUGGCACGGCCCAACAGUGGCCCAUUCCGGUGAAAAAGGCCGGCCCAGUAAAAAUUAGCAGGGCGGCCCAUAUAAGGCCUACUUGUGUCAGGUCCAUUUAAGCCCACGGGCCAUACGAGAUGUGCCAAUUUGGCCCGUCAACGGCCCGUGAAAGAUUUGACACCAUUGCAGCCUAUUGUCAGUUCGAGCUCGUUAACAGCCCGCUAUAUAUUUGCGCUCAAUAUCGGCCCGAUGUGAUUUUGGCCUGUUAACGGCCCAUUCAAGGGAUUGGCCAAUUUUUAGGAUGUACAUCUUUCGGCCUUUUAUCGACCCAUUUAAGUGUUGGGCUAAUUUCUGGCCCGGUGUGUCUUUCAGCUUGUUGACGGCCCAUAAUGAGUUGAGCCAUUUGUACUCGGAACUGAGUUUUGGCCUUUUAGCGACCAAGUGUUGGGCCAAUUCCAGGCCCGGUGUGCCUUUCAGCCUGUUAAUGGCCCAUGAGUUGGUCCAUUUGUAGUCGGACCUGAGUUUUGGCCUUUUAACAGCCCAUGCUCUUCAUGGUCCAAUACCAGCCCGGUUUCUCUUUCGGCCUGCUAAAGGCCCACAACACAGUUGGGCCAUUUACAGUAUGGCCCGACUUUCAGCCUCUCAGCGGCCCAUGCUCUCCAUGGUCCAGUACGAGCCCGCCAUCUCUUUCAGCCUGCUAAAGGCCCACAAUAUAGUUGGGCCAUAUGUGGCCCAACCUUAGUAACGGCCUGUUAACGGCCCGUGAAAUCAAAUGGACCCACCUGUUGCCCGCUUCAAUGUUGGCCUGUUAUGACCCGAGAGGUAAGAGGGCCGACCAUUAACUUUUGGCCUGGUAACGGCCCAUUAACUUAAUGGGCCCACUAAAGUUCGUAUAUGUCUUUAGGCCAAAUUAGAUAAUUUGAGCCCAUUACAACGGGCAAUUAUGCACAGGACCAAAACCGAUCAAGCAAAGGUACGACAUACAGGGAAAAACGUUGCACAUCCAGCAUAUAUUACAGGAAAUUACAUCCAAUGGGCAAUCAAAGAUUGAUGCCCGUGCAAAUAAAUGAACAGAACCUAAUGAUCUACAACGUCACAAUCUGCAACCUCAGCGCUGAUUACGCCCAUAAGCAUGUGGGCAAGUUCUUGCUGCUUUGCUACAUUGUCUCUGAAAACAUUGAUCAGUUGUUGUUGCGCAUGAAUGUGCACCUCUGAUUCCUCCACCAUUUCCAUAGUUGCUUCAGCCAUUAACUGGUUCACAAACACACAUUUUUUCUGUUGCAUCCAAGACAAAGGAAACUGAAUAGAUUCAAAUGGCAAUUUUGGCAGGCUUGUAUUAUUGAUAGUGGAGAGUGUAUCGACCACUGCAUCAUAACAUAAAUUAGGGGGGGAACCGAACAGAAUAAUCAUGAGUUAUUGCCAUAUUACCUGGCCUAGAUUUAUUGGAAAGAAACAAUGGGGUUGCCUUGCUGUGUUCAGAGUUUGUCUUCUUAUCUUCAGUAGCCUGCACCAAAUUAACACACUAGCAUUGCUAUCAUUGGCCAAGUCAGAUAAUAGGAAAGCAACAUUGACACAACAAACAUUUGGGCAACUAGCCUACACCAAAUCAACACAAUAUGGCACAGUUAUCAUUAGCCAGGUAAGGUAAUAUGAAAGCAACAUUGACACAAUGAAUGAAUGGGUAACCAGAGGAGCACUACAAUUCAAUAAUGUGCAUGAUAUGAGAUAGUACACUCAUGCAGCUCAGUAUGCAAAACUAUCAGGCAGUUUUCCUUACAAAAAUAAACAUUGGCGCCUUUAACAUUCUGCUACAACUAAUUUUAGAUCAGAUAAAGGUUGGAUUCACGCUGAUUAACAAAAUACAUGCUGAUGUAAUAAUAUAGUGAUAUACAACAGGUACUUACAUCAGCAUUGGAGCACAGAGAAUUCCCGCAAGAUAUUUUCCUCGAAUACGAUCCCAAUGGAGGAAGUCUUCUAUCAUUUAACCUUAUUUCUAAAAGAGAGAUGGGUAAGAAACAUGUAGAAAAUAUGAUCAGAAUGCUAUAAUAUUUCAUGAUGCGAGAAUACGCACACACUUCUUAGAAUGGAGUUGACAUUCUUUUGCUGGACUGGAGCGUAUUAGUUCUUUGGCCACUGGAAUCUGCUUAUUAUUAGUGGGAGUUGGGUUUCUCUGUGCUGGAGCAGUAUCUAUGAAAACUGGAGUUGGUUUAUUAUCUCCCGGCGUUUGGAUCUUUUGCAAAGACCUGGUUUGUAACCCUUCAGAUUCCAACAUAGCCGUCUUCCCCUUGCAUGCUUUAUAUAGAAGAAUGGUGCUUGAUGUCUACUACGCAACCUUCUUCUUGUAGACGUUGUUGGGCCUCCAAGUGCAGAGGUUUUUAGGACAGUAGCAAAUUUCCCUCAAGUGGAUGACCUAAGGUUUAUCAAUCCGUGGGAGGCGUAGGAUGAAGAUGGUCUCUCUCAAGCAACACUGCAACCAAAUAACAAAGAGUCUCUUGUGUCCCCAACACACCCAAUACAAUGGUAAAUUGUAUAGGUGCACUAGUUCGGCGAAGAGAUGGUGAUACAAGUGCAAUAUGGAUGGUAGAUAAAGGUUUUUGUAAUCUGAAAUUAUAAAAACAGCAAAGUAGCGAGCGAUAAAAGUGAGCGUAAACGGUAUUGCAAUGGUAGGAAACAAGGCCUAAGGUUCAUACUUUCACUAGUGCAAGUUGUCUCAACAAUAAUAACAUAAUUGGAUCAUAUAAAUAUCCCUCAACAUGCAACAAAGAGUCACUCCAAAGCCACUAAUAGCGGAGAACAAACGAAGAGAUUAUGGUAGGGUACGAAACCACCUCAAAGUUAUCCUUUUUGAUCUAUCUAUUCAAGAGUCCGUAGUAAAAUAACACGAAGCUAUUCUUUUCGUUCAAUCUAUCAUAGAGUUCGUACUAGAAUAACACCUUAAGACACAAAUCAACCAAAACCCUAAUGUCACCUAGAUACUCCAUUGUCACCUCAAGUAUCCAUGGGCAUGAUUAUACGAUAUGCAUCACACAAUCUCAGAUUCAUCUAUUCAACAAACACAAAAUACUUCAAAGAGUGCCCCAAAGUUUCUACCGGAAAGUCAAGACGAAAACGCGUGCCAACCCCUAUGCAUAGAUUCCCAAGGUCACAUAACCCGCAAGUUGAUCACCAAAACAUACAUCAAGUAGAUCACGUGAAUAUCCCAUUGUCACCACAGAUAAGCACGACAAGACAUACAUCAAGUGUUCUCAAAUCCUUAAAGACUCAAUCCAAUAAGAUAACUUCAAAGGGAAAACUCAAUCCAUUACAAGAGAGUAGAGGGGGAGAAACAUCAUAAGAUCCAACUAUAAUAGCAAAGCUCGCGAUACAUCAAGAUCGUAUCACCUCAAGAACACGAGAGAGAGAGAGAGAUCAAACACAUAGCUACUGGUACAUACCCUCAGCCCCGAGGGUGAACUACUCCCUCCUCGUCAUGGAGAGCGCCGGGAUGAUGAAGAUGGCCACCGGUGAGGGAUCCCCCCUCCGGCAGGGUGCCGGAACAGGGUCCCGAUUGGUUUUUGGUGGCUACAGAGGCUUGCGGCGACGGAACUCCUGAUCUAUUGUUGUCCUCGGUGUUUUAGGGUAUAUGGAGAUAUAUAGGCGAAAGAAGUCGGUCAGGGGAGCCAUGAGGGGCCCACGAGGGUGGAGGGCGCGCCUAGGGGGGGUGGGCGCGCCCCCCUGUCUUGUGGCUUCCUCGUUGCUUCCCUUACGUGCACUCCAAGUCCCCUGGAUUGCUUCCGUUCCAAAAAUAACUUUCCCAAAGGUUUCAUUCUGUUUGGACUUCGUUUGAUAUUCCUUUUCUUCGAAACACUAAAAUAGGCAAGAAAACAGCAAUAUGGGCUGGGCCUCCGGUUAGUAGGUUAGUCCCGAAAAGUGAUAUAAAAGUGUAGAGUAAAGUCCAUAAACAUCCAAAACAGGUAAUAUAAUAGCAUGGAACAAUAAAAAAUUAUGGAUACGUUGGAGAUGUAUCAGUGCUUCAAUUAUAAACAUGCUACAAUAGAGAUGGAAUAUGUACUGAAGAAUAGAAAUGCAUGACAUAUUGGCAUGUAUUCCCUCUAUCCAGAAAUAAAUGGAUGGGCCUAGGCGUAUUUCAGUUCUAGAUACAUCCAGUUUUAUCCAUUUCUGCGACAUGUAAUCCGGACAGAGGGAGUAUGAUGUAAGAGCUAGGGAUAUGACAGGACAACAGUGUAAAAAACACUACUUGAAUGUAAAACUAUAUGCUAGCGGAAUACAUAUAGAAAAACACUAAGGCAACAUAUGCAUGUAUGAUUGGGAAACUAAGAUGGCAUUGCAAGAGACCACUAGAACAACACUUCAAUGUAAAAAAAAAGAACAUGGUAUGGUAGACAGAUGAAUUACAUAUUGAUGAAUAACAAUGCAUAAGAUAUUCAGAAGCAUGAUGUCCAAACUAAGCAGAUGGCAUUGCAAUAGAGUAGAAUGAUAGUACUUGAAUUUGAAAACAUGUUAUCAUGAAUGGAAUAGGUACUGAAAAACAGGAAGGCAUGCCAUAUUUACAUGCAUGAUCAGCAGGCUAAGCAAAAGGCAUUGCAACAGAGUAGAUGCACUCCAGGACAUUAUAUGCAUGUUGUACCCAUAUCAAGGGCCAAGUAAGAGCAAGGACCUUGUGGGGUGAAUAGGAUUCAUCAUCUUUUUGCAAGUCUUGUGAAGAACUGCCUUUACAUGUUCCAUCAUAUUGGGUAUCAUUGACGUCAAGUUUGUUGGCCGUUACAUUGCUCCAUGAGGUUCUUGUGCAUAAAUCAGUGUGUGCAAUUAUAUCUGACAUGCAUGGAAGACAACUAGUAGUUUGAUUUAUGUAAUGAGUGCCUGUUGGAGACGACAUAAAUAGUAGGACCGGGGCUAACUAGCAGCAACAGGUCUCAAAAACUAAAGGAAGAACACAGAUGAAAGCUACAGAAUAUGUAUCAUUUGUACUCGAGAUUAACUAGAUGGCACACAAAAGUAUUAAAGAACAACAUAGGUAAUACUAGAAGUGAUAUAGUACUAUAAUCACCAGCCUGUGGGAUAGCACUGGCUGAUGGAUGAUAACUAUGGAACAACGUUACCUAAAGAACAAGUCUCUUAGCUGAACUAUGGAACAACGUUAACUCCUGAACAAGACUCAUAAGAGAUCAACAUGAAUAUACAGUGAAAUGUGGUAAUCUAUUUCCCAUGCUUAGAUGAAUAACAAAGCCAUAAAUGUUGCACACAAGUAAGAUGAGGGUACAACCUAUCUGUUCGCCAUCCCUAGGAGUGAGCAUCAUGUGCUAACUUGUCGAUGGCCCUGCAGUUGUUGUGGCUGUCCAUGUCGGGCACGUGCAAUCGAUGCAGAGAACUGUUGAGUGGGGACUAUAGCUCCCUUCUUGUGUAUGCUUCCCUUUUUGGAGCAACUGCGGUGAGUCGGAAGACGGUGUGGCCGAAGAUGCAGAAAACACAUAAUGUUAAGAACGACGCAUCUCUUUGAUCUGAAGAAAUACCCUAAGAGAUCAACAGCAAGGUACGAGAGUGGUCACACGUCUUUUGACUGAAGACUAAAUUGGGGUCACAUGAUUUUAUUUUAUUUUGGUACUGUCCGAUCUAUGCCGGAUGGCUUGAUGGCCGUCUUGUGCCUCCCGGGCCGGCUGACACUAUUUGGAAUCUUCCCCAAAGAGCCAGCAACCAACGGCAAAGCAGCAUGCCUCCGCCGUCCCUGGCCCCGACCAAAACCCCGCUCCCUGCCCCACCGCACUGCCGUGGUUGCGCCGCCCCCGGGACAAUCCACAAAGACUCGUCAUCCAGAUCCGGCAGCGGCAGUACCUUCAACCCAUGCAACUCUAAGAUAGCAAAUCUACGGUGAACUUGCGCCCCCACACCCUUAUGUUAGACACCAGCCAACUGACAGCCUAGGAGCUCCGCCGCCUCGAGGGGUGCUGCUUACCAUUGGCAAUCGAUUGACCCAGAAUAAAAUCAGACAACUGACGCCUAAAUAAAGUGAUUUGAGAUGAGGGUGCGACCUAUCUGGCGGCAUGGUGAAGUAGUCAGAUCCAGCUGUCGAGUCGGUGAGGCCGGCGCGGUUGCGGUGGCGACCGGCGGCAGGGAAGCAGAGAUGUAACGACGGUCGACGACUACGGGGAAGCAGCGCCGGGGCUCUGGACGGAUCUGAAGUUGGAGCCGCUUCGACACCGUGAACAACGACGGGCGUGAAUCUGCUACGUAUGGUUCACGCGGUCAUCAUCGAGGCAGCUCCAGCAGCACAGAGUAAGAGGCACACGACCCAGUGCACGACGACAAAUGGAUAGCGUCUCCGGCAUUAGGGAGGAGGGCGGCUGUGAAUUUGGUGCAGUGGGGGCGCCAUGGAGGAGGUGCUGAGGUUUCGUGGCUCGGGAGAAGGGGAGCUUCCGGGGAGAAGGUGAUUUGGCGCCCACGAGGUAUGAAUGGGGAGGUAAUUGGGAGGGGAGUGGAACCAUGUCUUACGGGCGCAUUUGUCUGAAAUGUGGGAGGGAGUUACAAUUCUACCCCUGCCUUUAGGCUUCUCGGCUUGGGUCUGUGUACUGAGGGUCGGGGAUAGUAGAGUAACUUUGCUUCUCCCCAAAUAGUGGGCGCGAGCGAUUUCAGGCGAGGAGGGCGUGUUUUGAAAUAUAGUGGGCGCGAGCGAUUUCGGGUGAGGAGAGCGUGUUUUGAAAUAGUGGGCGCGAGCUAUUUCGGGCAAGGAGAGUGUGUUUUGCCGACCAGGGUUUAUGAAUUAUUCGGCACAUGUCAUUUCGGCCGAGGAGAAGGCGCGCUUGGAUGAAGUUACGAACCUACCCUCGAUGUACAACAGGCCAAUUUAUGCGUGUCCCACAUAGGCCGGUAAUUUGGCAUCUCCCAUUUAUUUGCUCGGGCGAAAUCCACCGAGCAGAGGGUGUUUAACAGUUUGUUCAAAUUUUGGGAGAGCGAGCAUCCAGGUCUACCUUACCAAGUCGAUUCGAUCAAAUUUUGAAAUAUUAGCUUGCCAUUUCUUUUUUAGAUGGAGAGAUGAUGCUCGAGAGCAAUGUGUUUUUACAUGCUCGUUGCUAGCGAUUUACUAUAUGACAAAUAGUUGACCCACUAAAAAACGGGAAUCAAACCCAAAUAUCUCGAUUCAAUGAAAUAGCUCGUUCACCAGGUCAAAAUAGUGAACUAAAUCCAAAAUUGAAUACCUUAAUCCAAUAGCAUGUUGUACAGUAUUAUAGUAUUCCAUGAACAUGUUGAAAGUCAAAUUAAUGAACUUGUUUGAUAUACGCAUAUCUCCGUUCAUGUGUGGAUUGCAGACAACAUGUUCUCCAAUUUAAAUAUUUGAAUGCAAGUUUAUAUCGAAACAUGGUUUAUAUCAGUCUUUAUGCAUAAAACAUGACCUCCCCCUCUCUUGGACUCCUGCUCUCUCUCUCUCUCUCUGACAAUCUUCAAUUCUGUCGCACACAUCCAACACACAAACCUUGUUGGUCCCUCUCCCUCCCUCUCCAUCUCUCUCUCUCUUUGUGUGUGUGUGUGGGGGGGUCUUUCUAGUUCGCAUGCAUAUAUACUCCAUCUAUAGGUCUCUCUCGCACACUAUGUAUGAUUCUCUAGUCCAAGCUAAAUAUCUUGGGUGCACUCAUCGUACGCUGACAAAUUUCUUGGCUCGUUGCCCGUAACUCUCUCACACACCACUCUGUCGUCUCGGAGCUCUUCCCUCUCUCUCUCAAACUCUCCAUCUACCUGGGUCACACAUACACAUGCAUAUCUCACUCGCACUCGAUAGACCCAUUGAAAACUCUAUCUCUCUCCCUUGUUCUCUCUCCAUCUCACACGCACACACACACACAAUGUCAUGCGUAGCCAAGUAUGAUGGUCUCUCACUCAACUGUAGGCACAUGCUGUCCCCCCUAUAUGUAUAUGACUAGCUAAUCCUAGUCUCCAUCACAAACAUGUGCAUGGUCUAUCUUGAUUUCUCUCUCGGCAUCUUUCUAUCGCGCACACACCUCCCUCGAUCUCCCACCCAUAUAGCCCCCUCACGAUCUCGAGGGGAUCUCUCUAUCACAAACACACCCUCUCUCCCUCCCCAUGCGUCCAUGUUCUCCAUGUGUCCCUCUCGACCUUUGUUCCUUGUUGGCCAGACCUCUAUUGGGCAUGUGCUAUAGGGGUGUCUCUCUCUGUUGCGAACAAUCACACACUAGCUAUCUUCGUGUAUCUCAUCACCUCACUUUUCUAUCUCAGAGAUGCAUGCGUGAUAUGUUUGCAUAAGAAAUCAAAAAAACACACACUCUCUCUAAUUUAUCGCUUGUUGUCACUAUCUUUCACACACAUACUCUUUUUGCACACUGACUCAUUCUCCUUCACACACACUUGAUCUCUGUCGACUUAGGCACUCUCUUCGGUCCAUAGCAUAUAGAUUUAUUGAAAAGUCAAACAUCACAAAGUUUGACCACAUACAUGGAGAAAAACAUUUACAUCUAGAACAACAAACAUAUACCAUUAAAUUCACCAUGAGAUGUAGUUUCGUAUGAUGUAUCUUUGGUAUUGUAGAUAUAAAUAACAUUUGCGUAAACCUGAUCAAAGUUUCCAAAGUUUGACUUCUAAAAAAUUUACAUGCACUGCAUUAUCGAGCGGAUGGAAUAUCUCUUUCCCCAUCUCAGUUAUCUGACGCACCACUCAGCCUUAUCGGGGCUCCUAUAUCUCGCUUAAACUUUAUAUCUCCCUGGUUCACACAUACACAUGUCUCGCUCGUGCUACAUAUAGACCCAUUCAACACUCUUUGCCCUUGUUAUCUCUCUAUGUGACACGCACCCCCCUAAGUACCAUAAUCCCUCACUCCAUCAUAGGCGCACGCACUCCCCCCUAAGUAUGAUUAUCUCUCACUAGCCAUCAGGAACACACGUAUUGUCUCCUUCCAUCCAUACGUCUAUCUCGAUAUCUCUCUGGGUAUCUUCUAUCACGCACACACCUUGUCACGUGAUCUCCCACCCAUGUAGUCCCAUCACGAUCUCCAGGGGAUCUCUAUGACAAACAUACACUCUCUCCUCCCCAUGUCUGCAUUUUCUCCAUACGUCUCUCUCGACCUCUCUCCCUUGUUUGUCAGACCCCUCUUGGCCACGUGCUAGGGGUCGUUCUCUCUCGGUUGCAAACAACCACACACUAUCUCCUCACCUUGCUUCCGUUGUCGAAGAUGCAUGUGUGAUAUGUUUGCAUAAGACACACACGCUUUUUCUCUACUUUUAUCGUGUGUUGUCCAUGUCUCUUUCACACACGCACACACACUUUUUUCACUCACUCUUUAUAUUUUACUCUCUCUCUCUCUAGUUAGUGACUCUCUCACGUCCAUAAGCAUAUGGAUGUUUCGAAGAGUCAAACCUCAGAAAACUUUGACCAGGUAUAUGUGGAGAAAAACAUUUACAUCUGGAAUGAUCAUUAGAUUCAUCACAACAUGUACUUACUUCAUACUAUCAUUUAUCCUUGGUAUUGUAGAUAUAAGUAAUUUCUUUAUAAACUUGGUAAAAGUUUCAAAAGUUUGACUUUAAAAAAAAUGUUGGCACUACAUUAUCGAACGGAGGGAGUAGCUCUUUCUCUCUCUCUCUCUGCUAUCUCUCACGGGCCUCCCCUCUCACUUGAACUCUCUAUACCAACGAAUUAUAUGCUCACUGUGUAGCUCCAUAUAUUGUUUAGUUGACCGGUCAACCAGUCCACAUGCUGCCUUGUCAGCUCGUGUUCUCUAUCUUCGUGUGCUGGCCCAUGUGGCAGUGGGUGAAAAUAAGUAAACUAGAGGCCCAUCUAACAUGCGGUGAAGUAAACAAAGUUGAAACCACUCAAGGUAGCACCCCACACGCUAGUAAAUUUAGGGUGCAUUGAGGAUACACUUCUUCCGCGUGAAGGACGCAUUCAUGCACAAUUCACCACUGCGCGGCGGCAUGCACAGAAGGACGCACUCGCGCACACCCAAUAGGCCCUCCACUAUGUAGGCCAAAACACGUGCCAAAUUCACUUGUGAUGCAUUUGGCAUCGAUGCCCCUCUAUUGCUCACCUGGUGCCCCAAUCUGGAUCACCUACUUUGCUCCGGUGCCAAAUUAACUCACACAAUGAAAAAAUACUUGCAUGGGAGAGAGAGAGAGGACUGAGGCAAUAAAAAACACUUGUUUGGGAGAGUGAGAGGCUGGUGUAGUUGGUUUGAUUGAUUUGUUUAUACAUGUGGGUUUGUAUGUAUAGCGGUGCCAACUCUCUCACAUUGCGAGAGUGGUGCCAAAAUCUUUUGAUUUGACAUCGAUGCGUAUUAUGUGGCAUACUUUUGAGAAAUAUGGCAUCAACCACAUAGUGGAAGGCAACGAAUUCCCAAGCUCUUCACGUGCUCCUAGGUAAAUGAGAGGAGAGAGAGAGAGAGAGAGAGAGAGAGAGAGAGAAAUAUCACUAGCCAGCCAACCCUAUCGUAUGAGCGAAUGAUAUUGGUACCUCUUGAUGACACAACAAUCUUAUACAACCAGCUUCUCUAAUAUGUUCUCUUCUUUUGCAGAUCAAAAAAGACCCGAAAGUGAAAAAUGUGUUGCACUAUAACAAUCUCAUCGAAUGCCUUGAUCUCCAUUUUACAGAAAUUGAUUUGACCGACUACCGAGGUAGCACAUCUGAGAUUAAAUUGGCCAGGUUCUUUGUUCUAGAGGCAAGUGUGCUCAAGGUAGUGAGGUUUGGCGUUCUUUGGUGCAACAAUGAAUGGCGUGCUGAUCACCGCAAGCGUCUAAGCCUAAAUGACAAAGUCUCCGCAGAAGCUGUAUUUGUUUUUGAAACAUCAAGUGGCCAGAGACUCGAAAAUUUAGUUUCCCAUUAGUGACUUGUAAGGGCGGUGGAUUUUAGUCUGUACGAUAAUGCUGCAUCCACCUAAAGUAACGAAAGUUCUUAUGUAAACUUCCUAGUAAGUCCCUCUUCAUAGGUGCAACAUUACUCCUAACAUUUGUAAUAUCAGUUUGAAACUUGUAAUAUUGCCAGGUCCUAUUCCUGCAUUUUCAAAAUCCCGCGAAUCAAAGAGGUCCUGAGUUGGUGACGAUGUUGUGCCUGCCAUCUUUCACCAAUAGUCAUCGGAUAUAGAUCCGACGCAUACAAACCAAACUUCUCUAGUUUUGCAAAAAGAUGCCGGUACUUGUUCCCUAUUUACAAAAAACUCAUUGUCUCUCACAAUUAGCCUUAUCUCCUCCCCACCACAUCUAGAAGGCCAUGGAAAAAUCUGGCGCGAUGGCCGCUGCCGGCGCCGUCCACCCCCAAUCUUGGUGUUUCGUGCAAUGCACGGGCAUCUACGCACGGGAAAUUAUGUCGAACACGGCUAGUAGUAAGCAGGCUAGCUCUACAGCCAUGAUGAUAGUGAUUGCAGACGGUGAGGCUGACUAUGGUAUGCCGAACACGGUGCCUAUACUCAGGUGUCAUCUCCGGCGUAGGGUCUUGUCACUUCACUGUGAGGAGCAACACGUAAUAAUUUGACCAACGAGUAGUACAGUGCUACUACAUUGGUAGUACUACUACUAGUACUAGCACCACCGUCUGGAUUUAGUAGUACUACCACGUCCAUCUGGGUUUAGUAUUUGACUAGCAAUAUCUAGGAAUGCAUGUCACAAAAAAUGUACUACUUCCUUUGUAAAUAAAUACAUGGUUGUAUUGUUUUAUUCCUAUCAGCGAGAGAACUUAAUGUAUUUUUGCUAAUUAAUAGGAUUACAUGCAAUGAACUAACCACUGCAUGUCAUGUUUGGUAGUCUCAAGUCAUUGACAGCCUGCACGGCCCACAUCUCUCAUUGUUUGAUAUGUCACGGAAUAAGAAACAAGGAGGGAGUUAAUGUACCAUGCCUAAGUGUUUUGGGAUUAUUUGGUUUUCGUUAGGUGACUUACAAAACAUUUUUUGUUACAUGCAUUAACAUUUUAUUAGUUAAAUCAAAGGUCAAAACUUGGCACAAAAUGCAAUGGGGACCAAUAAACCAGUAAACAUCAAAGUUCUCUCGUUUGGCCCCAACUAGAGGUCCGGUGAGAUGACUAUACUACACCAGCAUUUAGGGGGACACAACUUCAUUGACUUACUGCACCUGCCUUUGGGUGUAUGACACGUGGUCCCAACGGGUGGCUGGCCCACCUGUCAUACAACCAAAGGCAGGUGCAGUAGAGGGCCAAGGAGUGGAUGGCUAACAGGCACAUGAAUUCAACACAGUCUGCGCUUCUCAUAUAAAGGCUCCCCGCCAGUCCAAUCUACAAAAUCCUAUGCACCUACACACCCUAACCAAGGGAAAGAGUGAUCACUCCAAUCGCAAGAUUAGUUGACUAGAAGCAAGACCCAUGGAGGCGAUGAGCGCGAGCAUCAGCCGGCUGUGCCAGAUGGUCCACAACACCGUCCUGUAGCCCGGCACCGAGGAACAUCUCCAGGUAGUGCUUGAGGCCGCCAGGGCGAGGGGCCGCUUGGACGAUAGCUUCAUUUCCUUGUUCGAUGAAGUCCUCGUUGGCUUCCUCGACAAGUUCACCAUCGUCAAGAAGCGCCCGGACGACCUUGGCGUAUGCCUCCAGCCCACGCGCCCAGGCUCUGUGAUGCCUGCCACCCUCAACGGCCUCUAUGGUGGCAACCUCUUCGACACACUGGUGGCCCUGCGACUGCCCGCCGUCGUGCCGGAGAAUGUCCACCUCGAGGUUGCGCUCGCCGCGCAGCACCUGGCGCAGCAAGACACCAUCAACAUAAUCACCCAUGUCUACGUGCAAAUCAUCCACAAGGACUACUACAUGCAAGAGGAGGACGAUAAGACGCUGGCCUUCUUGGACCGCAGGGCAACCUUGGACGGCAUUGUUCAGAAGCACGUUGAGCUCGCCUCCAACGCCGCUGCUCCUCAAACAUCGAUUGGUGACCCGGCACACUAGGGUGUGAGGAUGUCGUUGAUGGAUCCGUAUGUAUUUUUAUCUUUCCGUAAAAUCCAUGUAGUAAUAUAUGGUACUACUAGUAAUUAUCUUACCUUUCGCAUCAACUUCAUAAUUUUCGUACGUACUCCAUGCUUGAACCGCUCCAGAACCAAACUUCUCAUUACUCUAGGGAAAAUUGUUAUUUCUAUCUAUCGGUCGCACCAUGGAGCAGAACCAAAUUUUACAAGUUGCAAGUUCAAAAGGAAAAGCUUGUCAUGUUCGCGUCGCACCCCCACAUGGUUGGUCUGGCACGCCGCUCAAGGGGGAAUGUGUGCUGUGUUGCAUUUUCACUUACAAGUGGGACCGCAGUUGAGCAAACCGACUAUCGGCAAACCCCCACCCCGCCCACCGUGCAAUGGCUGAGAAAACGGGAGGGAGAAGAGAUGGCUGUAGCACGGACUCCAAGAAAAUUGGUGUCGAAUGGGACUCAUGUGAGUGGCAUGUACCGUACUGCUAGACGUGAAUGCUAGUUAUGGCCCAUGCCACCCCACUAUAUCGAGCCUAUAUCGAGGUGCUGGUUAUGUAGAACAAAUUUCCCGGAGUCCGUGCUCAACCCUCCUCUAUCUCUCUUCUCAGCUAGCCAGCAGAUGCAUGGAGCCCAUCGUCUGUUUGCUCAUAUGCAGUCCCACAUGUUAGUGAAAAUGCAAGAGGACCCACUGAACCUACGCAUAUUUCACUUGGACGUGCUGGUGAUGAAAAACAAAUCCAAUAAAGAUCUUCGGUGGCCUCUUUUGGAGUUACUCAAGAGUAGUAAGAUUAUAUUUACAGUUUAACCCAAGAUGCACAUCACGUGGCUUCAACUACCACUCUAUUUUCUUGCAUGACACGACCUGGAUGCUGGAUGUCCCACGUGUCAGAAAAAGGAGGAAGAACUCGACCAAACCUUCGGUUGUGCUCUCGGAUUAGACUAGUUGUGCUAACUUAAAAUUUUAUUGUGUAGAAUGGAUGCAAGUUUUGGUAUUGGGAAUUAUAGUACAUCGAUAUAUUGAUAGAUCGCAAUUUAAUAGAUGUUCUAGCACUUUUAGCUAGCAUAGAGGUUAGAGAUGAGACUAGUGCACUUGUUGAUAGAAUAGAGGCUAGGCAUGAGACUAGAUGCGAGGAAGCAACGUCUACUUCUUUACACUCGAAGAAGAAAGAAGCACGCAAGAUCGAGCCUCCGCAGAUCAACAAUGAAUGCAUCGAGAAGGCACUAAUCCAACUUACAGGAGCAGUUAUGGAAGUUGGAUAGUAUCUUCUAAAAUGUAUUCUUGUGGUUCUUGUUUUCUCUGGUCUUGCUUUUCUAGUCAAAUUUUGGUGAUGUAUUUCCAUGUACCAAAAAUCAAUGAUGAAAAAAGAUAUGUGUUUGCAAAGAAAAAUGUACACGGUCGGGAUGCGUCCACGUGUUGGGCGCACGACCACCGCAUCCGAGAAAUGGCCCGGACACGACUCCAUUGCCCUACCCAAACAGACAUAAUCCAGGCAAAAUGGAGUUCUGUUUGGGGUCGUCCGUUGGAGUUGGCCUUACAAGUGGGACCGAAGUUGAGGAAACCGGCUAUCGGCAAACCCCACCUCGCCUGCCGCGGAUGGCUAAGUUAGAGAAAUGACGAGGUUGAAGAGAUAGCUGUAGCACGGACUCCAAGAAAUAUGGUGUCAGAUGGAAGUCCUGCUGGUGGCGUGUGCCGUACUCCUGGACGUGAAUGCUUGUUCUAGCCCAUGCCACCCUACUAUAUAGUAUCGAGGAUUCGAGGUGCUGGUUACGUAUAGCGAACACAUUAACACAUGGCCCACCUCACACCGUGGCCAAAUUUCCUGGAGUACGUGCUAGGUUAAAAAGUGUUCUUUGUGAGGGUGGGUGGCUGGUCUCAAGUUUAAAACUUGUUGUAUUACGUAUGCGUAGACGUAGAGAUAGUGUAGCAGUUUUGAAAGUUUGAACCCAAACAUCAGAAUGCAAUUUCUACUGGACUCAUCCGAGGACCUAGGAUGAUGGGAUUCGCAGCUACAGUAAAAACACCCCCCGAUGUGCGAAGCAUGCGAAGCUAGUACAAAUAGUAGUACUAUUGUUGAUUGGCCUCAUCCGAUAACCUGUUGCAUGAUAAGUCUCUAAUGUAUCUAUAAUUUUUGAUUGUUUCAUGCUAUUAUAUUACCUAUCUUGGAUGUUUAUGGGCUUUACUAUACACUUUUAUAUCAUUUUUGGGACUAACCUACUAACCGGAGGCCCAGCCCGAAUUGCUGUUUUUUUGCCUAUUUCAGUGUUUCACAGAAAAGGAAUAUCAAACGGAGUCCAAAGGGAAUGAAACCUUUGGGAGCGAUCUUUUUGGAACAAACGGAAUCCAGGAAACUUGGAGUGGGAGUCAAGCAGCAAAUGAGGCAGCCACGAGGGUGCCCGGUGCGCCCUAGGGGGGGGGUACCCCCCUACCUCGUGGCCCCCUCGUUGCUCCAACGACCUACUUCUUCCUCCUAUAUAUACCUACAUACCCCAAGAACAUCCAGGAGCACCAUGAAAAACUAUUUCCACCGCCGCAACCUUAUGUAUCCGCGAGAUCCCAUUUUGGAACCUUCGCCGGUGCUUCGCCGGAGGGGGAAUCGACCACAGAGGGCCUCUACAUCACCACCAAGGCCUCUCUAAUGAGUUGUCAGUAGUUUACCACAGACCUUCGGGUCCAUAGUUAUUAGCUAGAUGGCUUAUUCUCUCUCUUUGAUUCUCAAUACAAAGUUCUCCUCGAUCUUCUUGGAGAUCUAUUCGAUGUAACUCUUUUUGUGGUGUGUUUGUCGAGAUCCGAUGAAUUGUGGGUUUAUGAUCAAGUUUAUCUAUGAGAAAUAUUUGAAUCUCCUCUGAAUUCUUUUAUGCAUGAUUGGUUAUCUUUGCAAGUCUCUUCGAAUUAUCAGUUUAGUUUGGCCUACUAGAUUGAUCUUUCUUGCAAUGGGAGAAGUGCUUAGCUUUGGGUUCAAUCUUGAGGUGUCCUUUCACAGUGACAACAGGGGCAGCAAGGCACGUAUUGUAUUGUUGCCAUCAAGGAUAAAAAGAUGGGGUUUAUAUCAUAUUGCUUGAGUUUAUCCCUCUACAUCAUGUCAUCUUGCUUAAUGCGUUACUCUGUUCUUUUGAACUUAAUACUCUAGAUGCAGGCAGGAGUCGGUCGAUGUGUGGAGUAAUAGUAGUAGAUGCAAAAUCGUUUCGAUCUACUUGUUGUGGACGUGAUGCCUAUGUACAUGAUCAUGCCUAGAUAUUCUCAUAACUAUGCACUUUUCUAUCAAUUGCUCGACAGUAGUUUGUUCACCCACCAUAAUACUUAUGCUAUCUUGAGAGAAGCCACUAGUGAAACCUAUGGCCCCGGGGUCUAUUCUCUAACAUAUAAAUUUCCGAUCUACUCUAUUUUGCAAUCUUUACUUUUCAAUCUAUAUCAUAAAAAUACCAAAAAUAUUUAUCUUAUCAUAUUAUCUCUAUCAGAUCUCACUUUUGCAAGUGGAUGUGAAGGGAUUGACAACCCCUUUACCGUGAAGGGAUCUCACUUGCGAGGUUCUUGUUUGUUUGUGUAGGCGCGUGGGACUUGGGAGGAGUCUCCUACUGGAUUGAUACUCUUGGUUCUCAAAACUGAGGGAAAUACUUACGCUACUGUGCUGCAUCACCCUUUCCUCUUCAAGGGAAAAACCAACGCAUGCUCAAGAGGUAGCAAGAAGGAUUUCUGGUGCCAUUGCCGGGGAGAUCUUCGCUCAAGUCAAGACAUACCAAGUAACCAUCACAAACUCAUCUCCCUCGCAUUGCAUUAUUUACCAUUUGCCUCUCGUUUUCCCCUCCCCCAUUUCACCCUUGCUGUUUUAUUCGCCCUCUCUUUUCUGUUUGCCUCUUUUCCGCUUGUCUCGUGUGUUAGUUUGUUUAUCUCUUUCAAAAGUUGCUAAAUUAAUGUAUGUUUCUAAAAAUAAGGGUGAAUCUUCUAGCAAGGAUAAUGCGGAUCUUAAAUCAAUAAGUGUUCAUUCCAACUUCUUAGCUCUUAUUAAGGAACCUUUUGCUAAAAAUGAAUAUCUUGAUUUCUUGCCUAAGAGUUUAAUCAUUACUAAAAAAAGAAAAUCACAAGGGUUAUAAAUGUUCUAUUGAAGAAUUGAAUGACAAAGAUGGAAAUACUUAGAUCUAUUCUCGCUUUUUUGCCUAGCUAGGGGCGUUAAAUGAUAGCGCUUGUUGGGAGGCAACCCAAUUUUAUUUUUGUUACUUGAUUUUUGUUCCUUUUUAGUAAUAAAUAAUUCAUCUAGCCUCUGUUUAGAUGUGGUUUUAUGUUUUAAUUAGUGUUUGUGCCACGUAGAACCUAUAGGAUCAUCUUGGGUGAAAGUUAAUUUGAUUCUGCUGAAAAACAGAAACUUUUGCGCCCGAGAAAAAAUCUAAUAAAUCACAGAAACGUGAUUUUGAGUUGAUUCUUUUUGCAGUAGAUCAAUAGUCAAAUUUCCUAGGACGUCCUAUUUUUGUAGGAGUUUUAGGGGUCCAGAAGUAUUCGAAAGUUACAGAUUGCUACAGACUGUUCUGUUUUUGACAGAUUCUGUUUUUCAUGUGUUGUUUGCUUAUUUUGAUGCAUCUAUGGCUAGUAUCGGGGGGUAUGAACCAUAGAGAAGUUGGAAUACAGUAGGCUUAAAACCAAUAUAAAUAAAGAAUGAGUUCAUUACAGUACCUUAAGUGGUGGUUUUUCUUUCUUGCACUAACGGAGUUCACGAAAUUUCCUGUUGAGUUUUGUGUUGUGAAGUUUUCAAGUUUUAGGUAAAGAUUUGAUGGACUACGAAAUAAGGAGUGGCAAGAGCCUAAGCUUGGGGAUGCCCAUGGCACCCCAAGAUGAUUCAAGGACAACCAAAAGGCUAAGCUUGGGGAUGCCCCGCAAGGCAUCCCCUCUUUCGUCUUCCUCUAUCGGUAACUUUACUUGGAGCUAUUUUUUUUACCACAUGAUAUGUGUUUUGCUUGGAGCGUCUUGUAUGAUAUGUGUCUUUGCUUAUUAGUUUACCACAUUAAUCCUUGCUGUACACACCUUUUGGGAGAGACAUACAUGAUUCAGAAUUUAUUAGAAUAUUCUAGGUGCUUCACUUAUAUAUUUUGAGCUAGACGAUUUUGCUCUAGUACUUCACUUAUAUCUUUUUAGAGGAAGGUGAUGGUUUUAUUUUGAAGAAAUUAUUGAUCUAUCAUGCUUCACUUAUAUUAUUUUGAGAGUCUUUUAGAACAGCAUGGUAUUUUCUAUGGUCAUAAAAUUGGUCCUAUAAUGAUGGGCAUCCAAGUUGGGUAUAAUAAAAACUAUCAUAGGAAGUGAAUUGAAUACUACGAUCAACUUGAUGCUUGACAAUUUUUUUGAGAUAUAAAUGUGGUAAUAUUAGGGUCAUGCUAGUUGGGUAAUUUUGAAUUUGAUGAAUACUAGUGUUAAAGUUUGUGAUUCCCGUAGCAUGCACGUAUGGUGAACUGUUAUGUGAUGAAGUUGGAGCAUGAUUUAUCAUUUGAUUGUCUUCCUUAUGUGUGGAGGUCGGGAUCGUGCGAUGGUUAACUCCUACCAACCCUUCCCCUAGGAGCAUGAGUGUAGUACUUUGUUUUGAUUACUUGUAGAUUUUUGCAAUAAGUAUAUGAAUUCUUCAUGACUAAUGUUGAGUCCAUGGAUUAUACACACUCUCAUCCUUCCACCAUUGCUAGCCUCUCUUGUGCCGCGCAACUUUCGCCGGUACCAUACACCCACCAUAUACCUUCCUCAAAACAGCCACCAUACCUACCUAUUAUGGCAUUUCGAUAGCCAUUCUGAGAUAUAUUGCCAUGCAACUUUCCACCGUUCCGUUUAUUAUGACACGCCCCAUCAUUGUCAUAUUCCUUUUGCAUGAUCAUGUAGUUGGCAUCAUAUUGGUGGCAAAGCCACCUUGAUAAUUCUCUCAUACAUGUCACUCUUGAUUCAUUGCAUAUCCCGGUACACCGUCAGAGGCAUUCACAUAGAGUCAUAUUUUGUUCUAAGUAUUGAGUUGUAAAUCAAUAAAAGUGUGAUGAUCUUCAUUAUUAGAGCAUUGACCCAAGUGAGGAAAGGAUGAUGAAGACUAUGAUUCCCCCACAAGUCGGGAUGAGACUUCGGACUUUAUAAAUAAAAAAAUAAAAGAGGCCAAAGAAGCCCAAAUAAUAAUAAUAAUAAUAAUAAUAAUAAUAAUAAUAAGAGGCCAAAGAAGCCCAACAAAAAAUGAGAGAAAAUGAGAGAAGGGACAAUGUUACUAUCCUUUUCGACACUUGUGCUUCAACGUAGCACCAUGAUCUUCAUGAUAGAGAGUCUCCUAUGUUGUCACUUUCAUAUACUAGUGGGAAUUUUUCAUUAUAGAACUUGGCUUGUAUAUUCCAAUGAUGGGCUUCCUCAAAAUGCCCUAGGUCUUUGUGAGCAAGCAAGUUGGAUACACACCCACUUAGUUUGUUUUUGAGCUUUCAUAUACUUAUAGCUCUAGUGCAUCCAUUGCAUGGCAAUCCCUACUCACUCACAUUGAUAUCUAUUAAUGGACAUCUCCGUAGCCCGUUGAUACGCCUAGUUGAUGUGAUACUAUCUUCUCUUUUUGUCUUCUCCACAACCACCAUUCUAUUCCACAUAUAAUGCUAUGUCCAUGGCUCACACUCAUGUAUUGCGUGAAAAUUGAAAAGUUUGAAAAUACUAAAGUAUCAAACAAUUGCUCGGCUAAAACCGGGGUUGUGCAUGAUUUAAAUAUUUUGUGUGAUGAAGAUAGAGCAUAGCCAGACUACAUGAUUUUGUAGGGACAACUUUCUUUGGCCAUGAUAUUUUGAGAAGACAUGAUUACUUUCUUAGUAUGCUUGAAGUAUUAUUACUCUUAUGUCAAUAUGAACUUUUAUCUUGAAUCAUUUUGAUCUGAACAUUCAUGCCACAAUAAAGAAAAUUACAUUGAGCAAUAUGCUAGGUAGCAUUCCACAUCAAAAAUUUUGUUUUUAUCAUUUACCUACUCGAGGACGAGUAGGAAUUAAGCUUGGGGAUGCUUGAUACGUCUCCAACAUAUCUAUAACUUUUGAUUGUUCCAUGCUAUUAUAUUACCUAUCUUGGAUGUUUAUGGGCUUUACUAUACACUUAUAUAUCAUUUUUGGGACUAACCUACUAACCGGAGGCCCAGCCCGAAUUAUUGUUUUUUUCCUAUUUCAGUGUUUCGCAGAAAAGGAAUAUCAAACGGAGUCCAAACGGAAUGAAACCUUCGGGAGCGAUCUUUUUGGAACAAAAGGAAUCCAAGAAACUUGGAGUGGAUGUCAAGAAGCAACAAGGCGGCCACGAGGGUGCCCAACGCACCCUAGGGGGGUGCCCCCUGCCUCAUGGCCCCCUCGUUCCUCCACCGACCUACUUCUUCCUCCUAUAUAUAUCUACAUACCCCGCGAACAUCCAGAAGCACCACGAAAAACUAUUUCCACCGCCGCAACCUUAUGUAUCCGCGAGAUCCCAUCUUGGAGCCUUUGCUGGUGCUUUGCUGAAGGGGGAAUCGACCACGGAGGGCCUCUACAUCACCACCAAGGCCUCUCUGAUGAGUUGUGAGUAGUUUAUCACAGACCUUCGGGUCCAUAGUUAUUAGCUAGAUGUCUUCUUCUCUCUCUUUGAAUCUCAAUACAAAGUUCUCCUCGAUCUUCUUGGAGAUCUAUUCGAUGUAACUCUUUUUGCAGUGUGUUUGUCGAGAUCCAAUGAAUUGUGGGCUUAUGAUCAAGUUUAUCUAUGAGAAAUAUUUGAAUCUCCUCUGAAUUCUUUUAUGUAUGAUUGGUUAUCUUUGCAAGUCUCUUUGAAUUGUCAGUUUGAUUUGGCCUACUAGAUUGAUCUUUCUUGCAAUGGGAGAAGUGCUUAGCUUUGGGUUCAAUCUUGCGGUGUCCUUUCCCAGUGAUAGCAGGGGCAACAAGGCACGUAUUGUAUUGUUGCCAUCGAGGAUAAAAAGAUGGGGUUUAUAUCAUAUUGUUUGAGUUUAUCCCUCUACAUCAUGUCAUCUUGCUUAAUAGUUACUCUGUUCUUAUGAACUUAAUACUCUAGAUGCAGGCAGGAGUCGGUCGAUGUGUGGAGUAAUAGUAGUAGAUGCAGAAUCGUUUCGUCUACUUGUUGUGGACGUGAUGCCUAUAUACAUGAUCAUGCCUAGAUAUUCUCAUAACUAUGCACUUUUCUAUCAAUUGCUCGACAAUAGUUUGUUCACCCAGCAUAAUACUUAUGCUAUCUUGAGAGAAUCCACUAGUGAAACCUAUGGCCCCCGGGUCUAUUCUCUAUCAUAUAAGUUUCCGAUCUACUUUAUUUUGCAAUCUUUACUUUUCAAUCUAUAUCAUAAAAAUACCAAAAAUAUUUAUCUUAUCAUAUUAUCUCUAUCAGAUCUCACUUUCGCAAGUGGCCAUGAAGGGAUUGACAACCCCUUUAUCGUGUUAGUUGCGAGGUUCUUGUUUGUUUGUGUAGGCGUGUGGGACUUGGGAGGAGUCUCCUGCUGGAUUGAUACCUUGGUUCUCAAAAUUGAGGGAAAUACUUACACUAUUUUGCUGCAUCACCCUCUCCUCUUCAAGGGAAAAACCAACGCAUGAUCAAGUGGUAGCAUUGCAAUGCACGUACAAUUAUGUAUUCAGAAAAUAUUUUUUUGCCUCGUCGCAGCACCCACUUAGAGAAGCGACUCGAAAGCCAUUCAUAAAUUUAGUAAGUUUAUCACAGGCAUAUCAUUUUAUUACAUACAACAGGUCAUCAACCCACAACGACAACGAGGAUACAUUAUAAAUACUAAAGUUUUCAUCACACAACAAAUAACAAGCAAUGAAAUGAACUUCAGCUCAACCAGUCUCGGCGUUGGAAACGCUUUCUUUCAACCAGAAGUGAUUCUCUAGGAAUUGCCAGCUACUGUCAAUCUCAAGACCAAUGGAGGACUGAUCAUCCAGGCUGAAGCGGCCUAUGUCAGGACGCAUAUUGUGAAGGCCACAGUAGGGAAGCAGAGCAAUGUUUGAGGUACAGAUACAUUUGCUUCUCAUAAAUGGUAGUAACGUUGUGUCAACAGCAGCUGGAUCGCCUUUCACCAUCAUUGGAUAGUUUUGUCCAAGGAAGAGCGAGUUUCCUUCAAGACUAUCAAUACUGAACCAGUGAGAAGGUGUUGGUGCUAGCACACUAGUAUCCAUCCCGAAUACCCUGCAACGGAUGUUGGAAUAGGUCCGGAGAGUGCGACCAUGCGAGACAACACCGGCUUCCUUAGUAUCAUCAGCAGUGCCCUGUACACAGACAAGAAGAGGUGUUCUAUUGGAAUAAGUUGCCAGGCGCCACUGAGUAUAUGGGUCCUCAUGCCCGUGAUCAUCAUCAUCGUCAUCUCCCCCUUGGUUAUAAAUUUUUUCAAGUAUAGGUGGUGGAAUGUUCAUAGGACCUUGGAAACACUAGAAUGUUAAUUAGUAAAGGGAAACUAGCUAACUCGCAUGCAUGUGGAUGAAACAAUUAUAAUUACGAUGGAAGACAAACGUACCGAAAGCAUAAGGAUUCCAUGCAAAAACAGUGCCACGAGUGGUGGCAGCAAACACAAGACCCUCGUAUUGAAUUGCAUCACAGUACACAUCCGUGUACAGAAAUUGAUUUUUGAGCAAUAUACAUCCAGUCGAACCAUGAAGGAAGGCAACAAGCUUGUCGAAGAUAGCAACAACUCCAUAGUUCAUGUAAUGCCAAGAGCGGUUGGGAACUCGACAAAUUGCUAUCUUGUGUAGAUGACAAUCACCAUGAUCGUAUUUGAACGUGCGUAGAAUACCGGUGUGCUCAACCUUUGGGCAGUCUGAGAUUUUUGGAAUUGGAACCCGGUGACGAGUGUACACAUUCACAAGUUCCCACUCGCAGUUGGACCCAAUAUAAACAACCCAAUCUCCAUUUGCGCCUGCCCAAGACUUACCCUCAAGCGACGACAUCUUAACAUCACACGUAUCAUUAUCAAGAGGCAUCAACUUGCACAAGGCGAGGCCUCUAUCGUCCGUGCGUCGGUCAGCAGGGUCACGACGAAGAAGAUAGGGGAGAUCAAACCGCUCCUGGACCCGUGGGUUCCUUGUAAUGAUGUUAUUAGUUGAGUAGAGAAUGGUCUUGAACGAACCUGCGAUGCUAGCCGAGCUGAUGACGUCGCACCGAUCAAUGAGUUCCUCCACCACGUCAUCUUUCAGAACGGGGCAAGAAUAACGAAGUCAUUUCCGGCUUGUUCCCUCCAUGGAGAAGAUGAUCAAACAAUGGAAGAAGGAAGGGUGAAGGCAAAUGAAGGAGGAGGAAGAGCGUGCGACAACAGUUCCAAAUCGAGAGGGAAAGGUGAAGAGGCGGUGGACGGUUGCCACGGUACACGAAGAGGCGCCCCGGCCUACAUAGACGUCCGUUAGGAAAUUGUAGUAACGACGACAACAAGCUUGUCGAAGAUAGCAACAACUUCAUAGUUCUUGUAAUCCCAAGAGCGGUUGGGAACUCGACAAUUUGCUAUCUUCCGUAGACGACAACCACCAUGAUCAUAUUUGAACAUACGUAGAUCAUCUGUGUGCUCAACCUCAGGGCACUCUGAGAUUUUUGGAAGUGGAAUCCGAUGACGAGUGUAGACAUUUACAAGUUCCCACUCGCAAUUGUACCCAAUAUAAACAACCCAAUCUCCAUUUGCGCUAGCCUAGGCCUUACCUUAAGUGAUGGCAUCUUGAUAUCACACGUAUCAUUAUCAAGUGGCAUCAACUUGCACAAGGCGAGUGAGGGAGUCCUGGAUUAGGGGGUCCUCGGACGGCCGGACUAUUAACAUGGGCCGGAUUGUUGGCCUAUGAAGAUACAAGACCGAAGACUUCUUCACGUGUUUGGAUGGGACUCUCCUUUGCGUGGAUGGCAAGCUUGGUGAUUCGGAUAUGUAGAUUCCUUUCUCUGUAACCAACUUUGUACAACCCUAGCCCCCUCCAAUGUCUAUAAACCGGAGGGUUUAGUCCGUAGAGGCAAUUACAAUCAUAAUCAUAUAGGCUAGACUUCUAGGGUUUAGCCAUUAUGAUCUCGUGGUAGAUCAACUCUUGUAAUACUCAUAUUCAUCAAGAUCAAUCAAGCAAGAAGUAGGGUAUUACCUCCAUAGAGAGGGCCCGAACCUGGGUAAACAUCAUGUCCCCCGUCUCCUAUUACCAUCGGCCUUAGACACACAGUUCGGGACCCCCUACCCGAGAUUCGCCGUGUUUUGACACCAAUAUUGGUGCUUUCAUUGAGAGUUUCACUGCGUCAUCACCAAAAGGUUUUGAUGGCUCCAUCAAUCAUCUACAACAAUGCAGUCCAGGGGGAGGUCUUUCUCCCCGGACAGAUCUUCGUUUUUGGUGGCUUCGCACUGCGGGCUAACUCGCUUGGCCAUCUAGAGCAGAUCGACAGCUACACCCCUAGCCAUCAGGUCAGGUUUGGAAGCUUGAAUUACGUGGCCGAUAUCCGCGACUUGAUCUUUGAUGGAUUCGAGCCCGUGACAGCCGCUCCCAGCCACCACGAUGAACAUGACUUAAAUCUGUCAUCGGACUGUGCUCAGGAGAUUGCGCCUGUAACUGCUCUGGCCCUAGAUCCGGAGGAGAUCGCGCCAUCCGAGGAUGGGAAGCUUAACCCCUUCAUGGAAGCCGCAGACUCAGCAACGUUGGAGCCGAACACAGAUCCGACCUUGAGAAGAGCCUGUGUCAUCGGAACCUCGGAGUUGUCUCCAGCCAUAGGUUCUGAACCGCGUACAUCCGUGCCCAUCGAAAUUGAUCGGGCGCCGAUCAUCGAGUUCAGCUUCGCGGACAUCUUCCGGCACUCGCCUUUAGGCGAUGUGCUAAGCUUGUUAAGAGCCCUCUCCUUAUCAGGAGACUCUCAGCCGAACUAUAUCUGGCUUGAAUGGGAAGCCGAUGACGGAGAAUUUCGCUUCCCACCCACCACCCAUUGCAUAUCCACUAUCGAAGACUUAACUGCCAUGCUUGACUAUGACUCUGAAGACAUCAACGGUAUGGACGACGAUGCCGGAGAGGAGCAGGAGCCACCGCCCAUAGGGCGCUGGACAACCACCUCCUCAUAUGACAUAUACAUGGUGGACACACCCAAAGAGAACAACGGCGACAAUAAAACUCUAGUUGAGGAUAAGCCUCCUGAGAUAUAGCCAAAAUGCUGGCGUCAGUGACGCCGCUCUAAACCACGCCGUGGAAAAAAUAGCAAUACCGGCACAAGAGAGGAUAACACUCCAGAUGAUGCCGAAGACAAUGAAGACCCCGUCGAGCCAACCUCCGAACAGGACGAACGGGAAGAUGGGCGAGUUAGCCCUGAUGAACAGGCCAUGAGCGAAGACUCGGUGGACAGUAACUACCUUCCGCUCUUCGAGGAUGAGGUGAGCCUCGGCGACGAAGAAUUUAUCGUGCCUGAGGAACCUCUCAAGCAGGAGCGCUUUAAGCGCCGGCUAAUAGCCAUUGCAAGGAGCCUGAAAAAGAAGCAGCAACAACUUCAAGCUGAUCAAGAUCUGCUCAACGAUAGAUGGACUGAUGUCCUGGUAGCCGAGGAAUACAACCUCGAGCGUCCAACCAAAAGUUACCUGAAGCGGAAAUUGCUGCCCAAUUCGAUGACAAGGCGCUGGAUCCUGUUGCACUAGCGGAUAAUGCGGCUGACCGACCACUGCGUGGCCGGGACAAAGCAGUCACUCAAGCCGAACACCAGCCCACACCCCCUCGCCGUAAGAACAGAAACACAACAGCUCAGGGAUACACAUAUGACAUGCAGCAUGACUUGGAAAACAAAGCAGGCCAGACGAGAUCGAUCUAUGGAUUGCGGGGGCGUGCCCUGAUGCGCGAGGAUGGCCACCCGGCCGGACGUGACAAAUAUAACCACAUCCGAGUCGAGAACCGCAGACGAACUCCAUCCGAGCUAUGCCACGAUUUGGCUCGGUAUAGAGGCGCGGCACACCCCCUAUGCUUCACCGAUGAAGUAAUGGAACAUGAAUUCCCGGAAGGGUUUAAACCCAUGAACAACGAAUCAUACGAUGGGACAACAGAUCCGGCGGUAUGGAUUGAGGAUUUUCUUAUCCAUAUUCAUAUGGCCCAUAGUGAUGAUCUUCACACCAUCAAAUACCUCCCAUUAAAACUCAAGGGACCAGCUCGGCACUGGUUGAACAGUCUGCCCGAAAAAUCUAUUGAAGCUGGGAGGACUUGGAAGAUGCCUUCCUUGACAACUUCCAAGGUACCUAUGUCCGACCUCCGGAUGCUGAUGAUUUAAGUCACAUAAUCCAAUAGCCCGGAGAGUCAGCCAUAAAAUUCUAGACUAGGUUCUUAACUAAAAAGAACCAGAUCGUCGACUGUCCGGAUGCUGAAGCCCUAGCGGCCUUUAAGCAAAGCAUCCGUGACGAAUGGCUUGCCCGACACCCCGACCAAGAAAAGCCAAAGUCCAUGGCAGCCCUUAUGACACUUAUUACCCGCUUCUGUGUGGGCGAAGAUAGCUGGCUAGCCCGUAGCAAUAACAAUGCACGCGAACCUGGCACAUCUGAAGCCAGAAAUCACAACGGCAAGCCCCGACACAACAGACACAAGCGUCGAAACAACGGUGACAGCACCGAAGACACGAUAGUCAGUGCCGGAUUCAGUGGAUCUAAGUCCGGUUAGCAGAAGAAGCCAUAUAAAAGAAAUAGUCCAGGCCUGUCGAGCUUGGACCGCAUACUCGAUCGUCCAUGCCAAAUCCAUGGCACGCCUGAUAAACCAACCAAUCAUACCAACAGAGUGUGUUGGGUUUUUAAGCAGGCCGGCAAGUUAAACUCCUAGAACAAGGAUAAGGGGUUGCACAACAAUGACGAUGACGAGGAGCCCCGGCCACCGAACACAGGGGGACAAAAUAAGUCCCCCCCCAAGUUAAAAUGGUGAACAUGAUAUAUGCUACCCACAUCCCCAAGAGGGAGCGCAAGCGCGCGCUCAGGGACGUCUACACAUGGAGCCCGUCGCCCCAAAAUUCAACCCAUGGUCGUCCUGUCUGAUCACCUUCGAUCGCAGGGACCAUCCGACCAGUAUCCGUCAUGGCGGUUCAGCUGCACUUGUCCUUGACCCAAUCAUUGACGGAUUCUAUCUUACGCGAGUCCUGAUGGACAGUGGCAGCAGCCUGAACCUGCUCCAUCUGGAUACAAUAUGCAAAAUUGGUAUCGAUCCGUCAAGGAUCAAGCCCACAGAAACCACCUUUAAAGGUGUCAUACCAGGUGUAGAGGCCUGCUGCAUGGGCUCAAUCACACUGGAGGUGGUCUUCGGAUCCUCGGAUAAUUUCCGAAGCGAAGAUUUGAUCUUUGAUAUCAUCCCUUUCCGCAACAGCUAUCAUGCCCUGCUCGGAUGAACCGCAUUCGCUCGAUUCAAUGCGGUACCACACUACGCUUAUCUCAAGCUCAAGAUGCCCGGACCACACGGUGUCAUAACUAUCAAUGGCAAUAUGAAACGCUCCCUUCGUACCGAGGAGCACACCGCGUCCCUUGCAGCAGAAACACAGAGCGGCCUUUUCAGGCAGAGCCUUAAUUCGGCAGCCAAGCUCCCGGACACUAUCAAAUGAGUCCGGACUACUCCGCAGCAGGACAUUCCAGUUCGUCAAGAGCUCUACUAGCAAUUCGGCCUCCAUCCCACGCCCAACGAAAUAGUGGCAUUCGUUCCGCACGUACAUAACUACGCACUUAAAAUACCAUGGGCAUAGAUGGAGGCGCAGCUAGAACGUGGUCCACAGUAUGGCUCAACCGUUCCUGGACCCACAUACUUUACGUUUUCUUUUUCUUUUCAGGUUUCUUAUCUGCCUAGGCCUUUCCUGGUGACCUGAUCGUUGGACCUAUCAAGGGACGGAUACACUAAGACAACGAGAAGCUCAGACGUAUAAGGGAAUCUCCAGGUGGUAUCUUUUCAUGUUCGUUAUACCUCGUUUAAGGGAUCCGCACGCAGCUCUCCCUUGGUGGUGGCAUGUUACAUAGCCAUGUUUCUUAUUGCACUACUGGUACAAUUAUGCUUGGAUGUAUUAAUCAAAAUACAAUGGAAAAUAGUUUGCGGAUCAAUUUUUGUAGCAUUAGCAUAUUUACGUGAUUGUUCCUUUUCUUGAUAUUCUUAGCAAUUGCACCCGUACACUCUGGUACACUUUAAUUCGCCAGGGGCUUCAUCAUGCCCCAUAAUACGACAAUAAAGUCUGAACACUUUUACGGUCGUUCGGCACCCCGAAUUGUAGCAUUAUAUGCAUCGGUUCUGAAUCAUGUCUUUGGUCAAUAGUUGGGUUGCCCGGCUCCUAUGCUUGCUAUCCUACGUUCCGCUAUAUCGGCUAGGGUAGUAAAGGGAGAACUACUGCGAUUGUGUCCUGGUUCUUCCAGAUGAGCACCUUAGUAGAGAAAGCCGAAAAUUGACUGUCAUGAUGUGGCGAGAGCCGGUCAGCUGCUCGAGAGGUUACAAAUCCUUAGAGAUUUUUUCCACAUUAAGCGAUGAAUCGGUUUUUAUCCGAUCAGGUGUUUACAUUACCCUAAGUUCAGAUUUACGAACACUAGGGGCCACACCUAAAUUUUUAUUGUCAAACUCCUAUGGCUAAGUGAGGGUGAUAAAGCCACAUAGUCCGAUUGCCUGGUUCGUUGCACUGAACACCUCCUUUAAGGACCAAUACCUGGAGUAAAGAGUGUUUAGAUUUAUCAUGAACACCCUCGUACUUCCUACAUGGAGGCUGAAGCCGAUGACUGGCCAACUCUUAGAUUUAAUAAAAACGGCCGCACAGGAGGUAAAAUUUUAAAUAACAAGUGAGGGAGUUCCGGACUAGCGGGUGUCCGGAUAGCCGAACUAUCAUGAUCGUCCGGACUCCAAGACUAUGAAGAUACAAGAUUGAAGACUUCGUCCCGUGUCCGGAUGGGACUUUCCUUGGCGUGGAAGGCAAGCUUGGCGAUACGGAUAUGUAGAUCUCCUACCAUUGUAACCGACUCUGUGUAACCCUUGCCCUCUCCAGUGUCUAUAUAAACCGGAUGGCUUUAGUCCAUAGGACGAACAACAAUCAUACCAUAGGCUAGCUUCUAGGGUUUAGCCUCCUUGAUCUCGUGGUAGAUCUACUCUUGUAACACACAUCAUCAAUAUUAAUCAAGCAAGACGUAGGGUUUUACCUCCAUCAAGAGGGCCCGAACCUGGGUAAAACAUCGUGUCCCUUGUCUCCUAUUACCAUCCGCCUAGACGCACAGUUCGGGACCCCCUACCCGAGAUCCGCCGGUUUUGACACCGACAUUGGUGCUUUCACUGAGAGUUCCUCUGUGUCGUCACCGAUAGGCUCGAUGGCUUCUUCGGCCAUCAUCUACGAUGCAGUCCAGGGUGAGACCUUUCCCCCCGGACAGAUCUUCGUAUUCGGCGGCUUUGCACUGCGGGCCAAUUCGCUUGGCCAUCUGGAGCAGAUCGAAAGCUACGCCCCUGGCCGUCAGGUCAGAUUUGGAAGUUUGAACUUCACGGCUGACAUCCGCGGGGACUUGAUCCUCGAUGGAUUCGAGCCACAGCCGAGCGUGCCGCACUGUCACGGCGAGCAUGAUUUAGCUCUUCAGCCGGACAGUACCCUGGAGGCCGCACUCGAACCCGCUCCGAUCUUCAAUUCGGAGCCGGCUGCGCAGAUCGAGGACGGAUUGCUAGACACCGCCUCGGGGGCUGCAACCUCUAUGGUGAUAGAGCCAAACACUGACUUUGUCCCUCAUAAAGCUCAUGACUCCGAGGUUCCGGACUCCUCGCCGGACUCCGAACCUCCCGCGCCCCCUCCGAUCGAAUCCGAUUGGGCGCCGAUCAUGGAGUUCACCGCAGCGGACAUCUUUCAACGCUCACCUUUCAGCGACAUCUUGAGUUCGCUAAAAUAUCUCUCGUUAUCAGGAGAGCCCUGGCCGGACUGCGGCCAGGACAGUUGGGAUGCGGACGAUGAAGAAAUUCAAAGCCCACCCACCACCCAAUUAGUAGCCACUGUCGACGAACUAACCGACAUGCUAAACUAUGACUCCGAAGACAUCGACGGUAUGGACGACGAUGCCGGAGACGACCAAGAACCAGCGCCUACCGGGCACGGGAAAGCCACCCCAACUCACGACAUAUACAUGGUGGAUACACCAAAAGGAAGCGAUAAUGAGGAAAAACGGGAUGUGGCGAAGGACAACUCCCCCAACAAACAACCAAAACAGCGACGCAAGCGCCGCCCGAAGACCGGCCUCGAUAAAAACGGCACCCAUACGGACCCGGCCCUAGAGCAGGGCGAAGCAGUGGACGACGCACAUGUCACCAAGCAGCCAGCUGGACAUGAACUGGACAAGCAACCCAUCCCCGGCGAAGACGAUCUCACAUCACCAGAGCAUAUGAAUCUUCAUAAAAGGCUCGUCGCCACUGCAAGAAGUUCGAAGAAGCAAAAGCGGAAGCUCAAAACAGUGGAGGACGCACUCAGAAUGAGAUGGAGCAAAGUACUCAACAGCGCAGAUAAACAUGGCGCUAGUCACCAGAAAAAGAGCUACCCGAAGCGCAAGCUGUUGCCCGAAUUUGACGAGGAGGCCUUAGAGUCCCCGCAGUCAAAAAAGAAAGAAGCCGCCUGGCCGGAUAGACGACCAGAUGAUAGGCCAAGAGUAACAAGGGGCGCCGCACACAAGCCGACACACGAUCAGCAUAAAGAUCAUCGGAAAAAGGAUGACCCAGUCAGAUCUAUUUAUGGGCCAAAAAAAGAAGACUCCAGGAAGCAACAUAACCCGCCGAGCAUUUGAAGACAACGGCACACCCAAAUACAGGGGCGCCGCACACCCACUAUGUUUCACCGACGAGGUACUGGAUCAUGGAUUUCCAGCGGGAUUCAAACCCGUAAACAUAGAGGCAUAUGACGGAACAACAGACCCCGGAGUCUGGAUUGAGGAUUACAUCCUACACAUACAUAUGGCCAAAGGAGACGAUCUCCAUGCCAUAAAAUACCUACCCCUCAAGCUCAAAGGGCCAGCUCGGCAUUGGCUUAAAAGCCUCCCAGAAAAUACCAUUGGAAGUUGGGAAGAGCUUGAGGAUGCGUUUCGAGCAAAUUUUCAGGGGACCUAUGUCCGCCCUCCGGAUGCAGACGAUUUAAGUCACAUAACUCAACAGCCCGGAGAGUCAGCACGCAAAUUCUAGAACAGGUUCCUCACUAAAAAGAACCAAAUAGUCGACUGUCCGGACGCGAAAGCCUUAGCAGCCUUUAAACACAACGUCCGAGAUGAAUGGCUUGCCAGACACCUCGGCCAGGAAAAACCAAGAACAAUGGCCGCACUAACAAGCCUCAUGACCCGCUUUUGCGCGGGGGAAGACAGCUGGCUGGCUAGAUGCAGCACCAGCGACCCGAGUACAUCCGAAGUCAGGGAUGGAAAUGGGAAAUCAUGACGCAGAAAAGAUUAGCGCCGAAAUAAGGAAAAUGGCCCGAAUAGUACGACGGUCAACGCCGGAUUCAAAAGCUCUCGGCCGAACAACAAAACACUGCCCCUCAGGGACAACAGUGACGAGCUAUCCAACCUAAACAAGAUUCUGGAUAAAUUAUGUCAGAUACAUGGUACCUCCGGGAAGCCUGCAAACCAUACCCACAGAGAUUAUUGGGUCUUCAAACAGUCCGGCCGACUUAACGCCGAACACAAGGGGCUCGACACACCAAGCGAAAGUGACGAAACCCAAAAGCAGCACUCCGGAAAACAGAAGACUUUCCCACUAGAAGUCAAAGCAGUGAACUCACUUCAUGUGAUAACACAAAAAGACAGCGCGGCACCUGCAAUACUAGGACACCGCCCACAGAAUGGGGAUAGACCCUACCAAAAUUCGCCAUAGCAACACUUCCUUCAAAGGAGUGACGCCAGGCCUUUAAGCCAAUUAUACAGGCUCUGUACCACUAGAGGUUGUGUUCGGUUCAUCCAACAACCUCCGUCGCGAAAAGCUCACUCUCCAUCGCCCCAUUCAAUAGUAGCCCUUAAGCACUACUGGGCGCGCAACUUUCGCUAGCCCUAAGGCAAUACCACAAUACGCGUUUCUUACGCUUAAAAAUGCCCGAUCAACGUGGCAUAAUCUAAUUAAAAAGUUACUCCGAGUGUUCCUCGACCAUAGAGAACGUGAGACUGCCUCGACAGCCACACACUAAUCAGACCUUGCAGGUCAAAAGCCCCUAAAAAUAGGUCAUUCAGACCUCAGACAUGGUUAAGCGAGUCCGGCGUAACUAAACAAGGGGCUUCCCAGCCGCAUAUCCCCUUUAUAAGGGGCCGCGUAUCUAAAUGAUGAGAGCCAAUAAAGCUCAACUUUCUUCAUUCUAUUCUAUUUUAAUACAACAUCUGCACGAUAUUUCUUGGAAACUAAGUCCUUCUCUUUUACAGAUGAAGCACGUGCUACACCCGUCCAGGAUACAACACAACGGAGACACAGGCGCAGACGUGCAGCAGGGACCCGUUGCAAGGAUUCUUUUCAGAUUAAGACCCUGUGUAAACCUUUCUUAAUGUCUCUUGUUGAUACACAUCCCCCGGUUUCCCACCAUAGCCGAGGAGGAGGCUGGCGUUUUGGCAUCGGCCACAUCAUAAGUUCUCGCCUGUACCUGGACACUAGGGGCUUAGGGCAUUGUUCUGCCCGGUAUCAUAAACACCGAACACCUCAGGGAGUGUUCGGCGUCUCGAGUUAGGCCUUAUAUGCAUCAGCUCCGAAUCAUGUCUUUGGUCAAAUGUUGGGUUUGCCCGGCUCCUGUGUUUUGCUGCCUUACAUUCUGUAUCAUCGGCUAACGCGGCACCAGGAGAACUACUGCGAUUGUGCCCCGGUUCGGCCGGGUGAGCACCUUAGUAGAGAAAGCCGAAAACUGACUGUCAUGAUAUAGCGAGAGACUGGUCAACCACUCGAUCGACCAUUGGAAUGUUUAGAAUUCCUCCGCUUUAACGAAGGACCGCUUCCCGGUCAGGCACAUACGCGCCCCGAAGUUCGGAGAAGAGCGGUGCCGCUAGGGGCUAUAUAGUAGCCCCACAUUCGAGCUCCUAUGGCUAAGUGAAAGUGAUAAAGCAUUAUAGUCUGGUUGCCUAGUUUGCUACGCUAUCACCUCCCUAAAAGGACCAAGACGUUGGAUUAAGUGUGAAAAAGCGCUUUUCUUUUUGCAAACACCCCCGCACCAUGUGCGUGGGGGCUGAAGCCAAAGACUUCAACUUUCAGGUUAUUCAUACAUAUACGGCCACACAGGAGAUAGUUCAAUACUUGAACGCACAAGUAUAAAAAGCUAUUGCAUUAUAAAUAUGAUCUCACAAAUUAUACACGUCAUUUGAACAUGACAUCUUUCGAGCACUGCGAUUCUAUUAAAUGAGCGCCCUGCAGGACUUCCUCAAAAUAGUGCUCGGCGGGUAAUCGGCUCUUGUCCGAACCCCGGGAUGCAAUAGCGGUGGCAUCCAUGUCCGCCCAGUAUGUCUUCACAUGGGCGAGAGCCAUCCGUGCACCUUCUAUGCAUGCUGACCGCUUCAUUGCCUUGAUAUGCGGCACCGCCCCAAGGAAUUGCUGCAACAAGCCAAAAUAACUCUUCGGCUUGGGCCUUUUCGGCCACAGAUGAGUGACCACAUCCGUCAUGGAAAGUCCGGACAACCUAUUCAGCUCAGCCCACCCAGCCAGCCGAUCAGUCAACGGAAGUGGACGCUCCGGACUAUGGAAUUGAGACCAGUAAAGUUCUUCCAUUUCAUGAUCCUUCUGGCUUCGGAAGUGCACGACUGCAUCCGCCGCACUCGCCGCCAAAUCCAGAUAAGGAUCCUCCACACCACACAACUGGCCCAGCUGAGCAUACUUCGGAUCCGUGAACUUCCUACGUAGAAGAAAGGGCUUUCCAGCCGCAAUGUCUCCGGCCUGACGCAGUUCCUCCUUCAUAGCCCGCAUCUCACUCCGGGCAUCCUUGACUUCAGCGCCGGCCUUCUUCAGGCCCUCUUGCUCCACUCGGCGUUCUCCUUCAAGAACCUCACAACGGUCGGUAGCAUCUUUUAAUUUCAAGGCCAUUCCGGCCAACUCUUCCCUGCUUCGGCAGUGAGCAGCCUUUUCGGCUUUUAGCUCUUCUGUUGCCUUCAAGGCAGCCACAUCACUUAUCCUGGAUUGCUCCUUGGCCCGAGCAAGCUCUGCCCGAAGGUCUUCCACAGCAGUAGCACCAUCUGCAUCAAGCAUACAAAUUGUAAGGAAUGGGCGUCAGCUCCCUUACUAGGCGACCGCGGAGCAACCACAUACCUUGUGACUCAUCAAGUCGUUUAUUGAUUAGCGAGAUGUCCGCAUCCGCAACGUCGAGUUGCCUCUUAAGCUCGGCAACUCCAUCAGUCUGGCUGGCCACCGAACGUCCCGCCACCUAUGCAGGAAAGGCGGCAAUCUAUAACUGAGAUUAUGAUCCUCGGAACGCUGCCGUUUUCGAUAGCAUACCAUGUCUCAGGGGCUACUAUCUAUACAGGGCGCACUUCAUGUGCAAAAACUAUCAAAAGGUAUGUCCUUUUUUGCGUACCUCAAAUCCCGUCAGCAAACUUCCGACGGCCUCAGACAACCCGCUUUCGGCGGACGAGAUCCUCUCAAUCACCAUACUCAUUAAUGUGCGGUGAUCUUCUAAGAUGGACGCCCUCUUAAGCAAAUCCUGUAGCUCCACCGGCCGUACUCCAAUGGGUGCCGAACUCUCUGGCCCCGCCGGACUUGGGGAGACCCUCUGUCACGACACCUCAGGGUCGUCCGCCCCGCAUGAUGGGGUGGCAGAUGGAGGCGUUUCGCUCUCCAUCAUCUCCGGACGAAGGUCUCCCGAAGAUGAGUUGUGCUGAGACGGGCUGAGAUCCGAACUACAGGAUGAAAAGUUCGGUUACCCUUAGAAAUUAAGCAGGGGUGUCCACUAUUACAAAAUUCCCCCUUUUACUUACGGCUCGCUAGAGGGCUGAUUCCUCCGAGGAGACAGUACGUCCAGGGCUCUUCCCGGCACAGGGCCUUCCGGUACAGAUUUCUUUCCCCGCUUUGAGGCCUUGGCCUCCGGGUCUUCGGAAGCGGUCCUCUUCUCCCCCUGGAAGGAGGGACUCUCGAUUCCUCCCUUACUGAAAGCCUCCGUGGCUGAGGUGGUAGUUCCCCUGUGCCCUUCUUCGCCCUCCUCCGAAGGUGCAACCUCUAACAUUUUGAUUAACACGGGAUCCUGCGUGGUCUCAGGGAGGGGGCCGGACACCGUAUCAGUUUUGCUUGCGCUAUCCACUCCUGUCCAAGGGAUAGCUGGUUAAAAGGCAAACCCAUAGUAAAUGAAUGGACGAUGUGUCCAGACACAGGGCUACUUACUUGAGUAUCCGGGCGAUUGCAGCUUAGGCCAGCAUCCUCGGUCAAUUCCGGACGCAUCUCUUGCGAUCCGAAGAACAGUUUGUACAUGUCCGUGGGUGUCAAGCCCAUGAAGUGUUGCAGAGCUCGUGGCCCCUCCGGAUUAAAUUCCCACAGGCGGAGGGGGCGACGUUUGCAGGGCAGUAGGCGCCGGAUCAACAUAACCUGUACCACUACGGCCAGGUUGAUCUCCCUUUCUUGGAGGCCUCGAAUCCGGUCCUGCAACAGGGGAAUGUCCUUGGACGGCCCCCAGUCACGCCCCUUGUUGACCCAUGAUGUCAGCCGCUGUGGAGGGCCCGAGCGGAAGACGGGCAGCAGCCUCUGCCUGCUGCCCCUAGGAGCGGUGAUAUAGAACCACUCCUGUUGCCACAAGCCGAGCUCCUCUUGAAAAGAGCCCUCGGGCCAUGGAGCAUCGGCCCUCUUACUUAUAACCGCCCCGUCGCACUCUGCCUGACGCCCCUCAAUCAUCUUCGGCUCCAUGUUGUAGGUUUUGAGCCACAAGCGGAAGUGAGGGGUAGUGCGGAGGAAGGCUUCGCAGACGACAAUGAAUGAUGAGAUGUGGAGGAUGGACUCCGGAGCCAAGUCAUGGAAUUCCAGCCCAUAGUAAAACAUGAGCCCCCUCGUGAAGGGAUCCGUCGGGAAGCCUAAACCCCGACAGAGGUGAGACACGAACACGACGCUCUCACCAAGCUCGGGAGUAGGAAUAACUUGCCCUCGGGCAGGCAGCCUAUGCGAAAUCUCGUAGGUUAAGUACCUGGCGUCUCUUAGCUUUAGCACGUCCUCUUCCGUGACGGAGGAGGGCAUCCACCGGCCUCGUAGGUCGGGGCCGGACAUUAUCGAAGAUCGAAGGUACCCGAAUAUGGAGACCUGGGUGUUGGAACUCGGGGCGAGGGGCAGAUUCGAUAGAGGAUUGAAGGAAAAGAACGGGCCUUGGUCUCAUUAUAAAGAGGAAGAAUACCAAGACCCGCCCCCGUGACCGUUUGGAACCCGCCUUUGAUGGAGGGGGCGUGGCAACGGGCGCGGUUGGGUUACCCACGUCCGUAUUGAUGGGAAUCCCGGAAUAAGGGGAACACGAUCUCUGCUUCGACAAGACGUGCCAAGGAAACCGCCUCGCUAAACGCGCUGAGGUGAUACAAUAAAAACAAUUCGAGUAAAGGCUUGGUAAUGGUGUGACGUCACGCCACAAAAUACGUCAGCAGAUUGAACUUGUGUAAUAUUAUUCUCUCUACGGUGGUACGUGGAAUUUAUUUUUGCAGAGCCGGACACUAUCCUGGUGUUCACAAUCUUCUAUAAAUUAUUCAGAGGAAGAACCCGCCUUGCAAUGCUGAAGACAACAUGCGCGCUGGACUCGUCGUCAUUGAAGCCUGGUUCAGGGGCUACUGAGGGAGUUCCGGACUAGGGGGUGUCCGGAUAGCCGAACUAUCAUGAUCGGCCGGACUCCAAGACUAUGAAGAUACAAGAUUGAAGACUUCAUCCCGUGUCCGGAUGGGACUUUCCUUGGCGUGUAAGGCAAGCUUGGCGAUACAAAUAUGUAGAUCUCCUACCAUUGUAACCGACUCUGUGUAACCCUAGCCCUCUCCGGUGUCUAUAUAAACCAGAUGGCUUUAGUCCAUAGGACGAACAACAAUCAUACCAUAGGCUAGCUUCUAGGGUUUAGCCUCCUUGAUCUCGUGGUAGAUCUACUCUUGUAACACACAUCAUCAAUAUUAAUCAAGCAGGACGUAGGGUUUUACCUCCAUCAAGAGGGCCCGAACCUGGGUAAAACAUUGUGUCCCUUGUCUCCUGAUACCAUCUGCCUAGAUGCACAGUUCGGGACCCCCUACCCGAGAUCCGCCGGUUUUGACACCGACAACAAGCAUUAUAUUACAUAACGAUCUUGUAUCAUAGUACAGGACAAAAUAACAUGAGUGUAUUCAUGGAAAUAUGAUAUCCUUAGCACAUUGCUCUGCCACAAGGCGGGAUCCCUCCAAGACACUGUCAAAAUACAGUUCGGGUGUGCGGUGCUCCUUGUCCGCGGGCGGUCCCUCGGUCAUCAGCUUCAUGGCGUCCAUCUUCGCCCAAUGCAUCUUGGCGCGGGCGAAGGCCAUUCGCGCACCUUCAAUGCAGACCGACCGCUUGAUGGCGUCAAGCGAGGGCAGGCACUGACCAGCCACUUCACGAGUCCGACGUAGCUGCUAGGAAUGGCUUCGGCAGGCCAUAGCUGGAUUAUCAAAUCCUUCAUGGCUAGUUCGGCCGCCCUAUGCAGCUCGACCAGCUGUUUCAGCUGAUCGCUAAAGGGCACCGGAUGUUCUUGCGCAAGGUAUUGCGACCAAAACAGCUUCUCCGUAGAGCUCCCUUCUUCGGCUCGGUAGAAUUCUAUAGCGUCUGACAUGCUGCACGGCAGAUCCGCAAAUACCCCUCGAGAACUCCAAAUCCGGGUCAGUAAGAGGAACCUUUCCUUCACAUAUUUGCUCUACAUAAUAAAGGGCUUACCCACCGUGUUCUUCUUGGCCACCUGGAUUUCCUGGAGGGCGCCCUGGGCUUCUACUCGGGCAUCGUGUGCACUCUGGUGGGCCUUGGCAAGUUCGAACUCUUGAUCCAAAAUGUUGCGCUCCAAGGACUCGCACUUCUUGACGGCGUCCUGGAGCUCUUGCUGGACCUCACGCACCCGGUCCUCAUGCUUUUCGUGUGCGGCUUGUUCCUUGGCCGCUCUGUCCUCGGCCUCGGCCAGCGCCUUCUUGAGGGCCUCCACCUCGGUCAUUGCUCCUGAUAAAUAUCGUGACACUUUUAGUCAGAACAAAUCGUUCAUCCUUUCUGAAUUUAGAUAAGGUUAUUGCAUACCUUUAUUUUCCUCUAGCUGCUUCUUCACGCGGUUGAGCUCCUCCUCGGUCUGCUCCUGACUCUGCUUUAGUUCGGAGACCUCAAUAACAUUAGAGGUCGCAUCCAGCAACGACACCUGCAUUAUUCACAUAGACAUGUCAGGUUAGUCUCUUGCGAAAAUUAUUUGAUCCUCUGUUCGGCUUUUCUUUCCGAAUACCGAACAGAGUCUCAGGGGCUACUGUCUAUACUGUGACAUUUUCUUUAUAUAAUUGUACUGCUUACCUCAAAGCCUGUUAGAAGGCUAGUGUAGGCUUCGGUCAGCCCACUUUUCGCAGACUGGAUCCUCUCAGUUACCGCACCCAUAAGGGUACAGUGUUCCUCGACAAUGGAAGUGCCUUGCAGCGCUUCCAGCAAAGUAUCCGGUGCCUCCAGAUGGACGGAGGUCACCAGCGGCCUAGGCGCAGCUCCUUCUAUUGAAAGAGGUUGCUUGCCUGAUUCUGGAGCCGUAUGGGUCUCUGAAAUGGUAUUCGGCAGGGGGCCAAAUUUGAUAUAGCCCCCGUUGUCAGCAUCCAUGGGGGGUUUGCUCCCCCAUGUGUCCGGCAGCCGAGGCUUCACCCUCUGGCACCUCCUGGAUGGUCUCCUGCAUCUCUCCCUCGUCUGGGAUCUUUUGGGACAACACCUCGGUGUAAUCCACGGCCUUGAGAGAGGACGCCGCCGAAAGGGUCCCGCUGUCCAUCACCUCUGGGUCUAGCAAAUUCUCCAAAGAUAAGGACCGCUCGAGGUUAGUCCGGGCCGGACUAUGAAUGCAUGAUACGGCAAAUUAAAAACUAUGAAGUAGUGAGGCCGGAUAUAUGAAAGUGUUUGGGUUUUGGAAUACUCACAAUUUGGCCAGGGGCUUGACCCUGGGGUUCCAUUCCGGGCUGCUGUCGGUGGCCGCGGAGGAGUUGUCUGGAAGGGAGGCUUUCCCCUUCUUGGAUGCUUCGGCCUCCAACCGCGUGGAGGCCGUCUUUUUCUUUCUCCCCCUGCAGGAGGGGAAUGGCUUUCUUCUUUUUCUUCCUCCUCUUCCCCGUCAUCUUCGACGGCGGAGGAGUGAGCCUCAGCGUCUUCGGACAUCACGUCCGAAGUGCCCUUGUGAUGGAGACCACUCCUGGCCCCCUUGGCCUUCUUCUUGGCCUUCUUCUCCGGCGCUUGAUAGGGCACCGGAACCAACAUCUUUGUGUGAAGCGAGAUUUCAGGGUCUUCAGGCAGCGAGGCCGGACAGUAAUUUCGCUCCGCCUUCUUUGUCCAGGCCUGAAAAAGUUAAUAGGGAGGCUAAAGCAUCUUCCUCGACUAUGCAAGUAAAGGAAACACCUUGAAAACAUGAAAACACUUACCAGACUAUCAGGGCGGGCCAAAUCAUGCCCAUGGUCCUCGGCGGUGUCCGACAUCGUCUCAUUGGCCUUGAAGAGCACUUUCCAAAUGUCUUCGUGCAUAGUGCUGAAGAACUCCAGCAGGGUCUGGUGCUUGGCCGCUUCAUACUCCCAUAAAUGGCAAGUCCGGCGCUGGCACGGAAGGAUCCGGCGAAUCAACAUCACCUGGAUCACGUUGACGAGCUUGAUAUUCUUGUUUAUCAUGCUCUAUAUGUGCACUUGAAGCAUUGUCAGCUUGUCCACCGAGGACCAGUCCAGGCCCUUCUCUUGCCAGGAGGUGAGCCGCAUUGGGACCCCAGACCGGAAUGUGGGAGCCGCAGCCCAGGUGGUGCCGCAUGGCUCUAUGACAUAGAACCACUUUGAUUGCCACCCUUUGACCGUCUCCACGAAGGAGCCUUCGGGCCAUUUGAUGUUGGGCAUCUUGCCCACAAUGGCACCUCCGCACUCUGCUUGUUGACCGCUCACCACCUUCGGCUUCACAUUGAUGGUUUUCAACCAUAGCCAGAAGUGAGGUGGGAUGUGGAGGAAGGCCUCACACACGACAAUAAAUGCCGAGAUGUUGAGGAUGGAGUUGGGGGCCAGAUCGUGGAAGUCCAGCCCAUAGUAGAACAUGAGUCCGCAGACGAACGGGUGGAGAGGGAAUCCCAGCCUGCGGACGAAGUGGGAGAUGAACACCACCCUCUCAUGGAGCUCGGGGGUGGGUACGAUCUGUCCCGCAGCCGUAAGCCGAUGGGCGAUCUCCUUGGCCAAGUACCUGGCCUCCCGGAGCUUCGCAAUGUCCUUCUCCUUGAGGGAGGAGGCCAUCCACUUGCCCUGCGCUCCGGAUCCGGACAUGGCUGGAGUGCUUUCUAGGGGCUGAGAAGAUGAGAACUUGGGCGCUGGAGCUCGGUAAUGAGGGAGGCUUAGAGAGGUAGAAGGCAUGGGUGAAAAGGGGCGAACCCUUAUCUCCUUAUAAAGGCAGCGAAUAUCAGGCGCCUCCUCACUAGCCUUAAAACUCACCUAUUCCCCAAAGGCCGUGUAGAUGGCACGGUUAGAUUACCCAUGCCUGUAUUGAUUAGGAUCCCACGAUAAGGGGACACAAUCUCUGCUUUUGACAAGACGUGCCUAUGAAACCGCAUCUUGAAAUAUGGAGUGACAGGCUAAAAAAUGGUUCGAAUAAAGACUUGGCGGCGACGUGAUGUCACGCUACACAAAAGUUGUCAGUGGAUUGGACUCGUGAGAAUAUUAUAUUCUCUAUGGUUGUGUGUGGAAUUUGUUGCAGGUCGAACACUAUUUUUGUUCGGAGACAAUUUUGGAGUAUUCGGAGGAGGAACCCGCCUUGCAAUGCCGAAGACAAUCUGCGUGCCGGACACCUCAUCAUUGAAGCCUGGUUCAGGGGCUACUAAGGGAGUCCUAGAUUAGGGGGUCCUCAGACGGCCAGACUAUUAACAUGGGCCAGACUGUUGUGCUAUGAAGAUACAAGACCGAAGACUUCUUCCCGUGUCCGGAUGGGACUCUCCUUUGCGUGGAUGGCAAGCUUGGUGAUUCGGAUAUGUAGAUUCCUUUCUCUGUAACCGACUUUGUACAACCCUAGCCCCCUCCGAUGUCUGUAUAAACCGGAGGGUUUAGUCCAUAGAGGCAAUUACAAUCAUAAUCAUAUAGGCUAGACUUCUAGGGUUUAGCCAUUACGAUCUCAUGGUAGAUCAACUCUUGUAAUACUCAUAUUCAUCAAGAUCAAUCAAGUAGGAAGUAGGGUAUUACCUCCAUAGAGAGGGCCCGAACCUGGGUAAACAUCUUGUCCCCCCGUCUCCUGUUACAAUCGACCUUAGACGCACAAUUCAGGACCCCCUACCGGAGAUCCGCCGGUUUUGACACCAACAGCGAGGCCUCCAUCGUCCACGGCCAUGUGAACAGGCUUAUAGCGAAGAAGAUAAGGGAGAUCAAACUACUCCUGGACCCUACGAAGAGGCGCCUCGGCCUACAUAGACAUCCGUUCGGAAAUUGUACAAAAGGACUCACCGUCGUCUCACUGACAUGUUGGAACGGGACCACAUGUCAACAAAACAUGGUGUGUCAUUUCUUGUGCAAAAUGCGAUCUAGCCGCGUUGGACCGAAGUGCCACAUUAUUUCUCGACUUUAUUUUUUUAAUGGCGCGCUGUUCAAUUUUGAAGCACGACUAACUGGUACUAUAUACAGAGAAAAUAUAAACUACUCUACCACUACUCCACCUCUAGUACUAGUAGUAUAAAAAAUAUAUAUAGGCUGGAGCUUUAGCGCUUUCUAGCCAAGGUCUGCACACUUGCUUCUCACACUAUCACCCUCUCUCCAGAUCUAAAAAGACAGCCUCUCUCUCCCUCCUCACCGGUGGUCACAGAUCCACCAGGGAAGAAAAAUACGUGCAACAUUGACACACUCAUCGUCGGCGAGCGAGGUCACGCACUGACGACAAGGUCGUCCUCUCAGACCUAGUGCCCGCGCAGGAUGGCCUUCGUCCCCAAGCUCGCUACCGUAGUGUGUGCGGAGGACGACGACCACGAGCGAAUCCACUUCCCGCCGACACUCAGGUAUGCUACCUCUUUUCUAACCAUACCCUUGUUCCAUCACCCCAUCUGCCACGUUGUUGCAUGUGGAUCUUUUUCCACUCCACCAUCUUCCCAAUUUGCUAUCCUCUACCAUGCUGGUCACACAAAUGAAAACCUUAAUUUGCACUAUUAAAGGAAACCCUACUUCAUGCAGACUAAUCCAUGUCUGGGUUAAAUAAGGAAAGGAAGGGAGACUGUACUGUCCAAGAGAGUAGGCAUCAAACCCGCUUCUAGGUUGAAAAGGGGAAAAUCAGUAGCUAAGGUACGAGUCUCGUGUCUCUUGGUUGAAGAAGGGUAGAAAGUCAUGACAACGCAAUAAAGAAUGACCAGGUCGAUCGAUUUGUUGUCCUCACAUAGGAAAAAGGUGGCUAAAGAGAACAAAAAUCGGACGUAAUCCACAUAUGUUGCCUAGAUAUUUGUUGCUCUGGGCAACCAUACCUCCCUCACCACUCUAUGCAUCCAUGGAGGUACAUCGUACUGGUGCGCCCACUAUUCGAAUGGGCCUCCCAUGCUCUUAUUGCCACUUUUUUGCUGUUAGUAUAAUGCCAGCGGUCAAGUCAAGCAAUGCUACUGCUAAAGUGAUGCCACAUUUAACUAAUGCCUCACUCAGUCUAAUGCCACCGAUAAAUUUAAGCAAUGUCAUUUAAUCUCACUAGAUUACUUCAGGGUUAGCUAUUGAUUUUGGAUGUAUUAAAGAUUUUUCAGCCAAGGCAUUCUAAUGUUGUUGCACAGCCAGUAUACCAAUGAUGAAUCUUGUUACUACCUUCAGAUUUUUACACUGUUAAUGUUUAUAGAUUUCAUACCUCACUUUCCUGAGAUAAGUCAAUUUUUUUGUACAGUGUCAAGAGGAAAGGUCAAGAGUGGGCACCUCCUCCUCCGGC